UCUGUAAUUCUCUGGAGUAAGAAGAAACAACAGAGGAUCAGGGUAAGGUGAAGGAUUGCAUGCGUUACUCGCACUGAAGGAAACCACGAUUUGAAUUCCAAUGCGUAUUCAUUGACCAUACGUACAUAGAAAGGUAUGUAUGUCUGUCUUCCAUUGACGAGUCCUGAAGUGAAGCCAGUGUAGCCCGCCAUUGUUCCAUGAACGCAACUUUGAGCGAGAAGCGUGCAGUACACAUUGUCGGAGGCGAUGCUUGGUAUGGCGCGGAUCAUAUACGUAGGGUCUGUCAAAACAAACAUUUGAUCACAGUUAGAUCCUUCUGUUGCUUACCGACAUAGGCAUACUACAACGAUAGCACAAAACAAGAUACUGACCUAUGUAUUUGAGGGUUAUGCCCAUCUUACCCCGCUGGGAAAAAUGAUCCUGCAGAAAGAAAAAGCGGGAAAUGUGUUCGUCAAACCCGUUUUGGAUUCAAGAAAUUGGAGAGGAAAGAAGUCAAAAUGCAAACUCAAACACUAUGCCCACCUUAAUCUUCUGGGAGAUCCACAGGCCGACGUCUUGGAAGAGCUUGUUGCCAGAAGCAUCCUUACCGUUAUCCAGGGAUUGGUUGCUCUGGGACAUGAGCUCUUGUCCAGCUCCUUCGGCAAUCACAAUGACCAUGUGCCCAUUUUCCUUCAGUCGUUUCUCUAUGUACUCGAAAAGCCCACCUGCGCCUUCAAGGUAAAAGGGCGACUCCGGAAUCAAGCAACAGUCCACGUCGCGGCUUGCGAGAGUAGCGUACAUUGCAAUAAAUCCUGGCGCAAAACCCAUCUAUUAGUUUAAUCACAUGCUUGAAGAAAGAUGCGAAUCUCAUGGACAUUGAAGCAAGACAAUCAUGCAGUAUAGAAAUUGUGUCACAAAUUCAAAAUUAGCCGAUUUAUGCCGAAUUCUUUGGCACAUGAUAAUGCACUAACCAGAACUCAGACACACCAAAGAACAGAUGACGACAUAUUAAAAGGAAAAGAAUCAAAAAGGGAAACUCACCGCUGUUGCGGCCCAUCAGCUUUACCGCACCAAUACCGUUCUCGACACCAUAGCAGUCGCCUAUCAAGACUGUCGAUUUGAGGCCCAAACCCUAGGCUCCAUUGAUCUAUAUAGUCAUGCAAGGUUAAGUUAUGGCGGACGGAUAUUCCAUCCAAAAGCACGCUUCCCAGAUAGAACCUUGCCAAUAAGGACUACAUUCAAGAAUCAGGCCAAGCUCAUAAUUCGGACACCAACAAUUCGCGAGAAUCAAAUCGAAUUCUUGCGCGAAUCGAGCGCUGACGUUUCCUCACCAUAAAUCCAUACCUCUCCUUUAACUCAAAGCAUCAACCCGCGAUCCAAUCGAAACCGGUACUAGCGCCCCAUCAACGAUGUCAAACAAGAAUCACCGAAACAAGAAUCGCCCAACAGCUCGAACGAGGAGCUAUUAGAAUCGGGCCGAGGCGAACCGAGAAUUGGAAUCUGGGAAGAUGGGAUCGAUCGAUGGAUGCGGACGAAGAACGAGGAAAGAGGGGAGUAAAGGCGUCGGGGAAAGGGGGGCGGAACCUGUUGCUCGGUGCGGGCGAGGCAUUUGCGGACGAUCUCGCCCUCAAGGGCGCGCCUUUCUUCGAGGGUGAGGUACUCGUAGUACUGGGCGAGGCGGGUCUGGCCUUGCUUGUUCACCAUCAGUAUGAAUCUGAUCCCCAUGCCCUCUCCUCCUCCUUCACCUCCUUCACCUUCAACUUCCACAGAGAAAGAGAGAGAGAGAGAGAGGGGAACUGAAUUGCUCUCUUUGAUGAAGCUCAAUUCGCAGCUAAAGUUAUGUGUUGGCACCGGGGCCGGUCGAGCACGCAAUAUCCCUUUGCUUGGCCUGAAUUGCUCUCUUUGAUGAAGCUCAAUUCGCAGCUAAAGUUAUGUGUUGGCACCGGGGCCGGUCGAGCACGCAAUAUCCCUUUGCUUGGCCUGAUUUGAUUAAAACAACUUCAAUUUUACCUCGAAUUUCGGUUCUGAUCCAAAAUUCACAAAAAAAAAAAUAUAAAAAAAAUCCACUUUUAUUUUAUACCCAAAUUGGACUCUGUCGAGUUUCGUCUAAUAAUCGUGUUUGAGUAAUGAGUAAUGUGUCGUUUCACGUGUACUUAGUAACUCAUGAUUAUGUUGAUGCGUGAUGAUCGCAGACGGUUUAAGAACUUUCCAUAUUUUCGGAUGUCACUAAUUGCAAAUGCACGGUUUCUUUUUUCUCAAUUUUUUGGACUUGCUUCGAUCUUGCAAAUUGCAUGCUUCGUUCACCCUAGGCAAGUCAUUUAUUCAAUCCAGUUUGAUUUUGUCGCCAAAAUCCAAACUCAAAUGCUCACAUUUCUUCAAUUUUGGUAAUACAUCAUUAAUAUGAAUGUCGGUUAUCUUACAUGGUACAAUUGGCAUUGAUGUGAAAUUUUUUUAAUAAUAUUUUAAUAUUUUUCAAAUUUUAAUAUUUUAUUUUACUUUUCUUUUUCUUUCUUUACUUUUUUUUUUUAAAAAAAUUACUGUUAAGGGUUGGCUGGGGUUGCCAACCACCAGUCAAGGCUCGAUGACCCAUGCCGACCACUGGGUAAGGGUUUGCUGCACACAUGGCCCUCGCCCGUUGUUGAUGAGCGCCUAUAUGCCCUUGCCCAAUGGCUGGUGGGGGCCACUAAGCCUCAGCUGGUGGCUCGCGACCCCUUGCUAGCCUUUAACAAUAAUAAAAGAUAAUAUAAAGAAGGAAAAGAAAGAAAAUCUACUCAAAAUUGGUUAGAUGACUCAAUUGACAAACACAAAAGCUUUUAUGACUUAAUUAAUACAAUUAAAAUGUUUAUGACUGAAUUUUGAGUUAACAUAGUUCCAUGCUUUCGUACUAGCUCUGCAAAUUGAGCCAAUAAUUUACAAUAUAUUCAUGACUUUUGUUGACAAAUUUCCCAACAUGAAAUGACAUCGAAUCUUUUGAAACUUGACGGAACUAGAUUUGAGUACCGAUUGAAGGUUCAUGUUUUUUAUUAGAUAAUAAAAGUUUUGGGUUAGAAUCCGAGCUAGAGUUGGUGAUUCUUUACAAGACAAAAAAACUUGAGGUUAGCAUUGGAGAUAAAAAAAAAAGAGUUUAGUCCAAAAUUAAGAUUCAAUUAAAGUUAGCAUCUUUUUUGCGAGACAAAAAAGUCCGGUCCAACAAUUAAGACUGGAACGAAGGUCGAUAAUCUUGAAGGAAUUGAGCCUUAUUUGUUCAGAAUUAUCAAUCCCAGGGGUGUCGUCCAAUUCGCCUAACAGCUAAGUAAUGUCUGGACAUGGGGAGCUGGUGAAAUGCUUGCUCGGAAUCAUCAAUUCGCAUGGUGUUGUCAGAUUCGUCUCUUGCGAUUAUUUUAUUCUAUUAAAUUCCACCUUUUAAAUUUUCACGUUAGGGAAGGUAACUGCCAUUUUACUUUAGAUAAUAUUUAAAGAAGGGCCUCUUUAAAUAUUUCAUCCGAUCAUUCAAUCAUAUGUAUAUAGAUUUAAAACACAAUUGAUAAGAAAAUGAUUUGAUGAUAAUAUGCACAGCAAAAGUCAGAGUUUCUAAACAAGUCAAUAUAUUAUAGAGAACGCCUAUGUUAAUUUUUUUUCUUUUACUUGACAUUAAAUUUAUGAAUUUGUUUGACAACAUAGAAAGAAUUAGGUUUCUUAGAACCUUAUCUUUUCUAUGAAACUAAUUUCUACGGAAGUAAAUACUGGAAAAAAUAAAAAAUAAAAAACAAAAGAAGGAAAGUGAGGGAGUUUGGGGUCACGAAGAGUAUAAUGAUUCGGGGCAAUUUUAUUUUUGCAUUGAAAAUUCGACUGAUGCAGUAGAGUAAAAAAAAAGCGUCGUCCUAUUAUUUAUUAUCGUUAUCAUUUACGUGACCGGGACGAGCUAGAAAUAAGUAUGGGUUUUGCGGCCGAAAACAUUUGGAUGGCCUGUGAACGAGAACACCGAGCGAUCACAGGGCAAUUACUCAUGACGGUGAAAAAUUCUCAAUCAUCACCUGGGAGCCGACUUUGAUAUUCUCAGACAAGACAUACAUAAGUCACUUUCACUCCCCUCAGUCCUCACCGGGCCUCCUUCGAGGAAAGAAGUCCCCCAGCAUUCCCUUUAAAGACGGGGAAAGAGACUCGUCCUUUUUUUCGGUGGUGUAGUUUCUGUGAGAUUUUAUUACUGCGCAACGCAUAUUGCCCGACUCCGAUUGGCUCUUUAACCGAAGACCGAAGAGUAGCACUACAUCCAUGCUUGAAGAUGAGGGAAAAUAUUGGGGUUGGGGGGGCGGGGUGGAGGAGAUGCUAUGAUACCUCUGCCCACUUUCUUGAAUCGCUUUAUUGCUUUUUUAGUAAAACUUUCUCUUGGCUUUUGGACACUUCGUGUGCUCAUCUGGUCACCUGCGGAUCCGCUCGGAAAAGAAGAAAUCACAUAAAUGAGACGACUUCCCUCCUACCGUCGAAGAUCAGAACAAAAACCUAGAGCUGCUCUAACUCUAAGCUUUAGGAACCCAACUCGACCUGUUGUAGGCACAAAGCCAGUCAUGCAGCGAACCACGUCCUCCAUUCCCGGGAUCGAGCAAGAGACCCACCCCCACCGUUCUCGCUGGUGCCGCAAGGUGAUCCGACCGUGCCUUGUCACUGCGGUAGUCUCUCUCUGCUUCCCCAUCAUCAUCUUCCUAGCCAUCCCCGCCACCAUGUCCCCCACGUUCUCCCUCUACCCGGCCUCGUCUCUCUCUUCCUUCAACGUCUCCGACUCUCAUGUUGCCACCGAAUGGACCCUCGUCUUCUCCAUUGAAAACCCGAGCAAGCUUAUCCCAGUCAAGUACUCCCACAUGAAAGCCACCAUUGUCUUGGACUCCGCUCCUUUGGCUCACGCCAAGUUCAGUUCUUUCAUCCAGAAAGCCGCGAGCCUCACGAAUGUUCGAGCUCAUUUUCACUCUGCCUUGCCCAGGGCGAACGAGCUCUCUAUUAAGAGUCUCGUGUCAGGUUUGGAGCGUGGUGAGGUGAUGGUCGACGUCAUUUUGAGCUCCGGCCGGAGGCUCGGCUUUGGCGCGUGGUGGGUUUCUGUAUUUGACGUCUCUGUGACAUGCAACGACCUGAUAUUUACUGCUGAAUCUGAUGGUGGUGGUCUGACGUUGCUCGUCGGCAGCAGCUAUUGCGUUCUAGGUUUCUUCGGUUACGUAUAGAUGCUCAAGUUCCGUGUUAUAAUUUUUAUUUUUCCUUAUUGGUUGGUGUCAUCGCUAGCUUUCGUGUACCUCGCCCAAUCUACCUUGGCGAUCUUAAAAGGCAUACUUUCCUUUUAUAGUUUGAUGCAUUUGGGAUUUUACUCCUAAAAUACUCUUAUAAUUUAGUGCAUUUUAUUUAAAAAUAAAUCAAUUAUGUUGACAAUUUUGUAGAUGACGAUAGUCAUUUUCUUGGAUUUAAUUAAUCAUGUGUAUAUAUACGAAACUACGGCUUGCAAUACGCGGGUUUUUGUAUGAUCCAAGAAUAGCAGCAACCGAAUCUUGAACUAGCAAUGGAUCUUCUGUAGUAGAGGACUAAGUUACCUCAAGAUGACCAAAAAUGCCUAUAUCUCUCCGGUAAUUCACCUCCAAAAACCCAGACCUAAUCCUAGUCUUCCUCUCCACUAUGCCUCUGGAACCACCGAAGUCGCCUCUAAACAAAGACACGGUAGUUAUAAUUAGCGGUGUAAAAAAUACUCGAACCGGCUGGUUGAUACCCCAAACCAUAGCUUAUAAGAGCCAACCCUACGCCGACCGGAUUGAGCCGAGCCGAGCCGAACCCACCCAUCCUAAAAAAUGAUUGUCAACGAAUUGACCUGAACAACGGAUUAGGCCAAUUUGAAGGCCAGCCCGGCCCAAACCAGCCACCGAUGACCACAUGACAUCUAGCCUAGUUAUUGUGAAUGGAAGGGCUGUUGCUUGGGCUUGGGCUCAAGUUGGAUGAUGGCUUGAUCUAGAGAAAUUCCAUCUAACCCACGAUUAUAAAUCCAACACUAGAUCCAAUUUGUCAAGAUGGCGACAGACUCGCUCGUGAAGAUUACGCACAAGUUUGUUCUCUCCAUUACUUUGGCCAUGCUUGUCCAAUGCUUGGUAUGGCUUGCUCUUUAGAUUUUGUUUGAUACUAUGGGCCCGUUUGCUUCGGCUUUUGAGAAAUGCACUUGCAAAAAUGCAAAUACCUUUGGGAGAAUGAGAUUUUCCGAAAUGCAAAUAACGUUUGGUAAAAUUUACAUUGAAAAACAACUUUAGUCAAAAUACUGUUUGAUAAAAUUUGCAUUUGUAAAUAACUUUUAUUAAAUUAAAAAAACAACAAAACUUGUAUUUUUUUUUUUUAAGUCCGGCCACCAAACCGUCGGAUCUGGUGGCCGGACCGCCGGAUUUGGCGGCCAGAUGGCCAGAUUUGGCCCCUAGAUGGUCGCCGGGGUCGCACGACCUCAAGCAACUGUUGCCUGGGUCGUGCGACCUAGGCCAUCAAUCGCCUGGGUCGCGUAACCUAGGCGUCACCUAAGGUUCGGAGACGGUCGCUAGGGUCAGGCGACUCUCAGGCGGCGGUCGCCAGCACGCACGACCCCUUGGCCGGCGAUUGUCGGCCUCCGGUCGGUUUCUUCGUGUGGUGGUGUGUAGUGGUUUUAAAGAAGAUGAACAAUAUCGGGGACUUGCAUUUGAAAGAUGCAACUUCACAAAGUACUUCCGAAGCUGCAUUGGGUUAAAGGCCUUUAGAGCAACUUGGAGAUACAAUUGCAUCUUACCAAAGUCGCUCAAAAAAAUGAACCAAACACAUUUGCAUUUAGCCAAGGGAUUUUAGAGUCCCAAAGUGUCUUCCAAAUGCCCAACCAAAUAGGGCCUAUGUUCCAUAACAAGAACUAAUUUUAAAUGGGCUUGGAAAAGUGGAAAAAAUGGAUGCUUUGGCUUUGUAAUUACUGAAGAAAAUUUACAUAUCGUAUUUAUCUACAAAGGUUUUUUUUUUUUGGUCAGUCCUACUCUAUUCCUACUCUAUACUCACUCUCAGGCUUUUGCCCUGCCUUUUGCAGGGCGUGUGAGUCGAAACCCACUCCCGAAACUUACGCGUCCCCACCCCAUCCCCCUGAGAAGGUGGGGAUUUGAACUCCUCACCUCCCUCUUCCAUGUUGGAAGGGUGGCCACUGGCGCCGCAAAUCCCAGUGGUUUAUUUAUCUACAAAGUUACUACAGCCAACUUUUGAAAUCGGACUCCACCCCUUAUAUGUUGUUAAUUAAUACUCUUGCUAAACUUGAGCAAGUCAUAAUUAUGCCAAAAGUUAAAAAGAAAAAAAAGGGUCUACUUCACUUCCACUGAAUGACCAUUCCCCACCCAUCAUUUUUAUUGUUUUCAAAUCCACACGCCCUCUUCCACGUUCCUCUUCGUAGAGAUAAGGCUAUAAUUUCCCCAUUUCCUUUUUCUUUUUAUCCCAUCAACUUUCGUUAAGAUUAAGGAAAUUGUUAACAUUGCUAAAAAGACGAUUGCUCUAAUUAAUAUACAAUACAAAAGAUCACAUUAAAAUUGCGAUUACAAUUAGAAUACAAUGAAGUAGGGAGAUAGGUACUCCUUAAAGACGGGGAAAUACUUGUUCUUUUUUCGUUGAUUUGCUUUAUGCCAGAUUUUGAAUGACAUUGCAACCCGUAUUGCACGACCGGCAUUGACUCGCCAACCGAAGGCGGAAGAGGAGGCUAUGUAUGUGCUUGCAGAACCUAAAGCUUGUGGAACGCAGAGCUGCUCUAACUCUAAAAGCUUUAGGAACCCAACUCGACCCGUCGUAGAACAGGCGCAAAGCCAGUCAUGCAGCAAACCACGUCCCCCGUUUCCGGGAUCCAGCAAGAGACCCACCGCCACCGUUCUCGUCGGAGUAGCAAGGCGAUCCUACUGUGCCUCGUGACAGCGGUGGUGUUUCUCUGCUUCCCCAUCAUCAUCUUCCUAGCGAUACCCGCCACCAUGUCCUCCACGUUUGCCCUCGACCGGGCCUCAUCGCUCUCUUCCUUCAAUGUCUUUGACACUCGUAUCGCUGCCGAGUGGACCCUCGUCUUCUCUGUCAAGAACCCGAGCAAACUUGUCCUAGUCUAUGAAGCAUCAACACUCUUCAAGAGCCUUCGUGUCUUGUCGGACACUUCGACACAUGUCCAACACUCUCUGACACUCGGUCAACACAUACCGAAAAAUUCGACACCUUGUCAACUUUUCCAAUAUUUUUCGACACUCGAGUUGAGAUUAUGACAUAUGAGUUUCCGAUACGUGAUUUUAAUAUCGAGGUUAAUUUUAAAAAUACAAUAAAUGAGGUCAAAAUAUAUACGUGAAAAAAUAAAAUACAAUAAUAAAAAUAAUAAAUGGAGAAAGAAGAGAAAUCUAGUCUUCUUUUUUCUUUUGACUCUCACUUCACAUGAUACAUAAUUCACUCCCUUAAAGUUUUUUUCUCCUCUUUCAACAUAUCUAACAUGCGAGUCCAGAAUAUGGAUCGCUUGUUUUUUCUCAAAGUUCUAUAAAUUAUUGAAAUAGAGUUGAAUUUGUCAAAUUGAAAUAAUAAAUGAUAUUAAUAAAUGAUGGAUUAAUGUUUUUAGUGUAUAUUCAUUCUAGGCUUUUUUGAUUGUUUAUUUAUUUAUGAAUUUGAUUCAAGUUAAUUUGAUUGAAAUAAUCAUAAAAAUGAUCAUUUAUUAUGUAUAUAAAAAUAUAUAUUUAAUAUAUAACGUGUCCUAACGUGUUGAAGUUUUCUACUUUUUGAGAAAUGACGUGUCACCAUGUCGUGUCGCGUGUGAGUGUUGACGCUACUUAGGUNNNNNNNNNNNNNNNNNNNNNNNNNNNNNNNNNNNNNNNNNNNNNNNNNNNNNNNNNNNNNNNNNNNNNNNNNNNNNNNNNNNNNNNNNNNNNNNNNNNNNNNNNNNNNNNNNNNNNNNNNNNNNNNNNNNNNNNNNNNNNNNNNNNNNNNNNNNNNNNNNNNNNNNNNNNUGUGGCAUUUGACGUCUCUGACAUGCGACGGCCUUGAUAUUUAUUGCUGAAUUUGACGGUGGUGGUCUGAUAUUGCUCGUCCGCAGCAUCUAUCGCGGUUCUUGAUGGGUUAUGUACAGAUGCUGAAGUUCGGGGUUUUAGAGGGAAGAGGGAGAGAGAAGGCGAGGUGUUGAGGGAUGACGUUGUGGGGUGUGGUGGUGUGGGGGGAGGGGACAAACCCAUAGUUCCUAUGCAUAACCUCGAACUUCAGCAUAAAUAAGAAUGAUUGCACAACAGUCUUUCGUAUAUUAUGAAAAUAACAAUUUAUUCUAGACCAUAAAAGAUUAAUCACAAGUAAUUAUGAAUUAUUGUAAGAUUUACUUUUUUAAAAAUUUGUGACUUACAAUAAAUACUCUCAUAGUAUCCCAAUAAUUGUUAUGCUAGUAAAGCCCCAAUAACGUGAUCCUUACGUAUUUUGUUUUUGUUCGGGUGAAGGAUAUGUUGUCUUUGUUAGUUCUGACUUCUAUGUUGUCGAUCCUUUUCUUUUAGCUGCAUUGAAAGGUAUGCCUAGUGCUUUACAACAUAUCUAUACACACAUACACUUAGGAUUUAGAAAUUCAUCUCAUUGUUUGUAAUAAUGGUAUUUAAAAAAAUUGUAAUUUGGUGCAGUUAAACAUUAUUUUUCUGAAGAAAAAUCUAUAUAAAUAAAUAAUAGAAAGAUAAAUUUUGUUGCUUAUAAACAAAACUAGAAAGAAAUAAAUUCAAACUUCAUCUUAUAUAUAAUUCAUAAGUGAAAAGUACUAUUGGGCAAUAAGGUUAAAAAAGAAGAAGAUAUAACUAAUAUUCACACUUGACAAAUGUUGUUUAUCGAAAAUUAUCUUAAAUAUAUAUAUUUUUUCAUUUGGUGAAACCAAACACAAUUUUUUAUUAGGAAAUGCUUGAGUAAGCUAAAACAAAUCAAUACUUUUUGUAUGUAUUUAAGAUGAUAUAAAGAAUAAAAAUCCUAAGGAUGCCCUACUUACAAAACGACCAGUCACCAAAAAAAAAAAAAAAGCACAAGUUAAUAAAAUUUUCUAUGGUAGAAUAAGAUAACUAGUAUGGUAUUUUCUCUUUUGCCCAAGAUCAUUUGAUUAAGGGCUUUGCUAGCAUAAUAAUUUUUGGGUUACUGAAAAAAUAAUAAUAUGUUGUAAGUCACAAAUUUUUAAAGGAGUAGGCCCCACAAUAUUUUAUAGUGAAAAAUGAUUGACUAACAAUACUGUUAGCUUGGAAGAGAAACAGUAAAUCCUCACCACACAUUUUCCAUAAGUGAGAAAUAUUUGUGUUUUGUUUGGCAUUUUUCCACAUGCUUGUGUUGGAAAAAGGAAAAGUUUGUGAUUAUCUUUUGACUAUCACACGGUCAUACUGUCAUGCCGGCAUAACUCUUUUAUAAUUAUUUGUUAUUUGAUUUUUUGUGGUCAAGAAUAGAUUGUUAUUCUCAUAUAGAUUAGAAAUUAUCACCAAAAUCGGUCACCGAUCACCUCUAGCUUAGUUGAUUGUGAAUGGAAGGGCUGCUCCCAUGGCCUAGGCUCAAAGUGCCUAGGCUCAAAGUGGACAAUGGCUGUGAUGUGAGAAAUUCCAUCUAUGAUCUCAACUCGGGAUGAUGAGAUCCAACACCAAGAUUCAACUUGUCAGAAGGUGACAGGCUAGCCUGCGAAGAUCACUCGCCCAAGUGGGUUCUCUCCCAUUAUUUUGGCCACACUUAUCCAUGCUCGGCAUGGCUUGCUCUCUAGAAUUUGUUGGACCUAUAUUCCAUGAUAAGAAUACAUUUAAAAUGGGCUUGCAAAAGUGGGGGAAAUUGAUGCUUUGGCUUUGUAAUUACUGAAAAAAUGUACAUAUCAUAAUGUACAUCUACAAAGUUAUGUGAGCCAACUUUUGAAAUUGGUCUCAACCUUUUAAAUGAUUGUUAAUACUUCUGCUAAGGGUACGUUUCUUUCAUGGAAAAGAAAUGAUUUAGGAAAUAUAUUCUUAAAAAUGAUUGUUUGUAUCGUUUAUAAACAUAACUGAUUUAAAAAUAUUUUUCAUUGAUUAAUUAUCUCAAAUAAAAUUAAUAAUUAUUUAAAAAUUUAAAUAAUUCAUUUUUUGGAAAACAAACUAGAGUUAAUACUGAGAAAGUUAUGAUUAUGUCUGAAGGUUAAAAAGAUCUACUUCACUUCUGUUGAAUAACUAUUCCCCACCGUAGAACAAAUAAUGAUGAUGAUAAUAACUAUUCCCAUUCCCCUUUUUUUGCCAUCCCUUUUCCACACUGAGCAUCCCGUCAACUUUUGUUAAGAUUAAAGGAAAGUUAACACAUCUAAAAAUGGAUUGCCCUAAUUAUUCAUUGUAGUGUGUCAUAGAAGAGUGCCAAGGGAUGCUUGGCCUAGUUGAAAGGUGUAAAAGUAGCCCAUUGCCCCCUGAAGCCAAUCAACUCACAAACUAUGUUAUUAAAGUCCAUUGCCAAAAGACCCUUCCUCCAAAUUGGUUAUCUAAACCUCCUCGGCACCUCUAUGAUAUUUUAUGUGCAGUGAUUCAUCGACUAUUUUCUAAUAGCAUCGGUUAUUGAAUAGAAAAGGGCCUUUUUGACCCAAAGAAAAAAAAUAAGAUUUGAAAGAUAUGUGACUCGAAUUUUUUUAUGCGUACGUACGGCUGUUUCUUCGCAUGAGGAUAGAAAUUAAAAUCGAAGCUUUCAACGUUUAAGGCAAGCAUGGUAAGGAACGCACGGGCAAGUACACGCAUGAUGGAGGAGAAGAAAACUGAAGUAGACGGGUCAUGACGAGUGGUGAAGCACGCGACACAGUCAAAAGCAAUGAGUUUAAUGCAUUAUCAUAUAUUCAUAGGACCUAUUCCGUUAAUAUUUUGUUAUGCGGUUGGGUGUGUGCUCUAAUUUUGUCUGAGCACGUUUAUUUCACGGAAAACUCGAGAUUUGAAAAACAUUUAUGAAAAAUGAUUGGUUAUAUCAUUUAGAAAAAUCAGUUAACGAAAAAUAUUUUUAUUAUCGACGAUAAUUUAUGCUUAAUUAUUUUCGUGAAUGAUGAUAAUAUUUUGCAUUCUUCUUUAAGCGAUACAAGCAAUCAUUUUUCAGAAUAUACUUUCCAAAUCUCAAAUAGUUUCACGAAAUAUUAUUAAUUUAGAAAAUAUUUUUUAAAAAAACGAUCGUUUCUAUUAUUUACAAAAAUAAAUUAACGAAAAAUAUCCUCACCAUUCACGAAAAUAUUUAAACAUAAAUUAUUCUCGAUAAUAAAAAUAUUUUCAAUUAACUAAUUAUCUCAACCAAUAAAAGCGAUCAUUUUUUGAAAAAUAUAUUUCAAAUUAUUCAUUUUUUGUGAAACAAACAGAGCUUUAGUGGUGUUUAAUUUUCAUGGGCGAUAGUGGAUUGAAAAUGCACUCAAACCUUGAGAUGCCUGGAGAAACCUGAACUUUCAAAGUGCUAAUCCUUCGUUGGGUUACGAUGGGUGAGGAGAAGUUCGUGGAGAGUCUUGGAUGAUAAGCACUCCGACGCUCAAGCCGGUACGGUAUGGGAGGAGAUCGGAGAAAUUAGAGCCGACAUUCUAUCCGUGUCGAAGACCGAUCGGAGCAGUCCUCGGAGCAGCCCGUGCUUGCCUGAUCCUUAUUUCUAACUCGUCCCUGUCAUGUAAAUGAUAACAGUAAUAAAUAAUAGGACGACACUUUUUUUUACUCGACUACAUCUGUCGAACUUUCAAUGGAAAAAUAAAAUUGUUGUCAAAGUANNNNNNNNNNNNNNNNNNNNNNNNNNNNNNNNNNNNNNNNNNNNNNNNNNNNNNNNNNNNNNNNNNNNNNNNNNNNNNNNNNNNNNNNNNNNNNNNNNNNUAGUGUGCGUUCACUCAUGUUGGCAAAGCACGCCCCAAACCAACUUGGCUCUGAGCAGUGGCAUGAUGAACCUGGAGAUAUGUUAAGCUUCAGUUAAUGAAGCAUGGUCCUCCAGAGAUCCAAUUCACCUUCUCUUGUGGGCUUCUCAAGAAGAGGGCUCAAGUUCAUCCAGCAAAACAGCCCGGCGUUGCCCUUUAGGCAUUCGAUCCCGGCACUCCUCAGGCCCUCGAUGAUCCUCUCGUACCGCUUCCUCAGCCUGGUGCGGUUGACCUCAAUGUAGUUCUUUGCGAACUUCUUGUCGGACAGCAUGCAGGCAAGAAGGUGUUGCGUUUGAGAAGAGAUCAGUGUGAAGCUGGACAUCCGUCUCGCUGUGGUCACAACCUCGUCAUUGUAUGAGUAAAUUGUGCCAACCCGAAUACCCGGGAGGCCAAGGUCCUUGGAGAGACUGUAAACAAUGUGGACCCGCUCGGAGCCCUUGUACUCACGUACCUCGAGGACCUCAGCGACGCUCACGAACUCAGAGGACGAGAAGACAGAGCCCGAGUAGAUUUCAUCGGAGACAAGGUGGAUGUUCUUCCUUGUUAUGAAGUCGAGGAUGUCCUCCAGGACUGACCGGCUGACGGUCACGCCCAACGGGUUUGAAGGGUGGUGAUCAAGACUCCUCUCACUCUGAUGUUCAUUGAUUCUGCAAGCUCGUAGGCUGCUUCGAGAGCUUGAGUUGUGAUCUGGAAAUUGUUCGAACUAUCACAGACUAUGGGCACAAUAUUCACACCGGUUCUCCACCUUAAGUCUCUGUCAAAUCUGGAAAAAGAAUUCCCAAAUUAAAGGGCCUGGUUAGCUUAAGGUUGGAGUGCAUAUUAAUGUAAGCCAUUGACCUAAGCUACUUUGGCAUUAAAAUAUUAGUGAGUCGGGAGAAGUAGGGGUGAGCGGUUUCAGGUUUCGGUUUGGUUCCGUCUGGAAUUCCAGAGUCGAUUCCAAGUUCCAACAGAUUUUUUUUUUUUUCAUUUUCACAUUUAAACUAUACAACAAUAAUAGAAUAUAAUUAGAAAUUUCAAGACAAAGAGAAUAUUUGGACUAAGUUGGACACACCACCAAACAAGAUCAGUAAAGUUGCAAAAUCUUUAACAUUGUCCAUUAACCCAGAGAAUGAUGUUGACAUCAGCCCAAACAAAUUCUACAGUAUGUGUAUCUAGAUGACAUUGUCCACAUAUAAAAAAGGGUACAGUAGAAUGAAAAUGCAAAUCCAACCAUUUUACAGAGUAACAGCUAGCACUAGCAGCAAAUUGGUCACGACCCAUAAAAAAAUAAAUUGCCCAUAAAAGAAUGGUCUUGAAAUCUCUACUGCUGCUAACAUUAAUAUCACAUGGCAAACAUUUAGGAAGAGAAUAUGAAAAUUAGCUGGUACCUUAUUUUUCCUUCGCUCUUGUGGAAAAAGAAACACAAAAAGGGAAGGCAGCGCAGGCAAGGCUGGUGCGGCGAGACGUUGAGACGCUCGGGCAGAAGGGGCGUCGGGUCGUCGAGCUGUGGUGCUGGUGUGGUGCAAAGGUGCUGCGACAGGGGCGCCGGCGAUAGAGGCGAGCUGCUGUGGUGUUGGGCAGAGCGCAGGUCGCUGGUGGAGCGGUGUCGGCAGGGCUACGCGGAGAUGGGGCAGAACUUCAGACGGAGAGCAGCGCAGGCGAGGGUUGCUGGGCGGAGGAGUGCGGUGGCUCGGCGACCAGUUCUGGCGUCACGGAAGGGUGCUCGUGUGGAGGUCUGGCAGAGGGAAGCAACAGACCAGCAGCGGCGGUGGCCGGUGGCUAGGUUGCCCGCGGUGAAGCUUGGCACGGAGACGCAGCGCGGUGCUCGCAGACGAGCGCGACGCCGUGCAGCGGCCGGCAUAGCGGAGCCCUCGAGCGGCUGCGGGGCGGAGAGCGACGAAGAUGAACAGUCUCUUUGCUUCUCUGCUUUUCUGCUUUUUCCAUUUUUUCCGUCUCCUCUCACGUCACUUUCUCUCCUGCAGCUGUCUUCUUUUGCUGACCCAUCGUCCAGGGUCGAAUUUUGCCCUCCCGCCUCGGAUUUCCUCAAUGAAACUUGCCAUCGCCUGCAGAAUUAUUUAGCUGUUUAAUUCCUAUUCUCACAGCUCAGCCACCUUGCUUUUCGCUGUUCCUAGGACUCGAGAGAUUUUCAGUCUGUACCUUUCGGAAAGUGAGAAGGCCAUGGUAAUCCUGAAACAAAGCAUUCUCUCUAAACCCAGUAGCUCCUUUGCCCCAACAAGAUGCCUCUGGAUGCUUCUCCAAAUACUCUUCAAGCAAGUCAAAUUAGACCUGUUUGAAAGAAUCAUUAGCCGUAUGAAUUACGUGUGAAUUAUACCACCAUAUCACACAAUUCAAAUUUCAAAAACCAUGGAUGGUCUCUUUGGUGCUGAUGCAUACUCACUUGGUUCUCAGCUAAUCCCAUUUGGGUGACCCCAGACUGAUUGCUCGCCUCGUUGUAAGGGUCUUCAUUGUACGCUUUCCACCCGGCGAAGUAAGGCGAGUCCUCGCCGUGUGUUUCGGAAACUGCGACUCUUGACAGCUGGACGGAGGGAGCAGCCUCAUUCUCUAUUGCCAUUCGCGAUAAGCUAUUUAGAAAAUGAUGCGAGUUUACAAGUUGAUGUGAUCCUCUUUGGUGUGUCUUGAGAAUAGGAUGCAACUGUGUGUGAGAGAGAUUGGAGAGGAAGAAAAGAGCACUGUUUUUGGAAUGAAGAGGAACUAUUAAGUACCUCCCUUUAUAUAGGGAGGGAAGGGGUUUGACCAAAGGAAAAGAGGAUAUUCUAUCAUUUUGCCUCACAGAAAUUGGACGGAAGGAAAGAGAACAGGGAAAAGAAAUAUUAAUGAUUGAUUCUCUGGGCAAGCGUGAUCAAAGCUCGUAUAGGUUCAAUCUCAAGUGACAACUGUUUGGCUCCUGUCAUCUUUUUUCAAGAAUUUUCUUUUUAAUUAUUAUUUCUCUCUCAAAAUCACCCAGAGAUCCAAUUUCGAGAACCAGUUUUUUUUUUUUUUUUGGGAACCAGUUAGGUGGUUGAUAAGGGUGUGGUGUUUAAAACAUAAAUACUUUAUAAUUAGAGGGAAAUUACAUAAUGAUUUUUUCUAAAAAGACACAGACCUAGUCUCUCUCUCCUCCCUUCCCCUUUGCCUCUUCCACUAGUAGCGGACCAGCUGAUGAGAGGGGAGCUGAGUGGAAAGGGCAGCGGCGGGCAACCGCCUUCUUGUAUGAUUGGUGCUGGGUGUAAUUUUAUACAUAUUAUAUUUCUAUAAUAUUCAUAUUAAAAUUUUAUAGCUCAUCCCUCUUGAGGAAGUACUGCAAAUUUUUUGCCUUAAAAGGCUGUUGAUUACUCUUUGGGCAGUUCCCUCUUCCCAAUCUUUAAUUUGUGAAACCAUUGCUUGAAAAAAUAAAAGAAAAAAAAAGUUAAAAUUCCUCAAAAGCCCAAACCGUGCAUGAAGGUGUAACAUUUUAAAUGCCUAAUACAAGUGUUUCAAUAUUUUUAAAGAGUGGCUGUGUUCUAAUAGAUUGAGAAAGACGCCAGUAAUUGUACAAUAUCAUCAAGAUUCUCAUUCAAACAAUGUGGAGACAAACUAAAAGGCUCUAGAAAGUUAUCACUACCCCACUUCCAUGCACAUUAAUUGUUGGGACCGCACAAUAGAAAUCCAAUACCUUUACCUUAGGAGAUCGCCAAAAGGGAGCCUUAAUCCGAGCUAGUUAAUAUAUUCAGUUGGAUUCAUCUUCACUCAAAAGCUUAAAUUAAUGAGUUAUAAACCAACUAGGAUAUAUUAAUUACUCUAAACCACGUCAAUUCUCUGAUGUGAGAUUUUUCUAAUACAAUUCACUCACACGUGCAUCUAACAUUAAUUACCCCUUGGUUCUUUAACAAGAUUUGUGGCAUUUUAGGGUUUUAUGUGUGGUUGAUAUUAUCAUGAACAUUAAAAAAUAUUUGGGUUUUCUUGGGUAUGCAUUGUUUUGAUGAUGCAAUGUCAAGAUAGAAAAGAUAUACUUCGAUCUUGAAUACCUACUAGACCCAAAAAAAAAAAAAAAUCCUCAAUAUCCUACAUACCUCAUAUGUAUUACACAUGUCCAUAAAUAGGUUAAUGUGCAGAAGAUGAUGAAAAUGGUUUUGUUGCAUUAUGAACACAAAGGCUUACUGUCAGAAUAUUUGUCUCAAUUGUGCAGUUAGCGUGGAUUCGAUUUGCUGACCGACGGCAAUAAACAACAUGAUUUCAGAGCAAAAAAGGGUGAAGCUUGAAUUAGAAAAUUGAAGGACAAAAGGAGAUAAGAAAUUAGAUGCUUGUUCAAAUCAUGGACGUGCUGCUCAAGAUCAAGAAAAGUUCCCUGUGCCAGAAUUUCAACAGAAAGAUUUGUGAUGAAUAGAUUGCAUUAUUUAAUGAGAAGGAAGAAAACGAUCACAUGGCCUUGGGUCGAGUCUACAUGGUGCACAGUAGUGAGGACUAAACUAGAAAAUAAAAAUAAAAAAGAACAAAAGGAGAGAGAGACUAAGGCUGCGUUUGUUUUCACUUCUCUUUCCUGUUUUUAACACUUUUUUUUGUUUUUUUGUUCCUGUGAACAAAAAAGGAACAGAAACGCAUUUGGGUGCGUUUUUGUUCCAAAAUUGUUUUUUUGUUCCCAGAAACAUAUCUGGAACAGAAACAAGAAGCAAAAAAAAGUUGUUUCUUGUUUCUGAAACAAAAUUCAGAAACACUUAUCUCUUUUUUCUUUCUUUUUUCUUUGGUCAGUUGCUGGCCUUGGCCAUGGCCGGCGAUCGGCCGUCGAGGGUCGGCAAUGCCGUCGAGGGCCGUGGCCUCGCCAGAGCGUCGCUGGCCCCCGGCGAGGCCGAGCGUUGUCGGCCCCUAGCGAGGCCAACCUCGCGCUGGGCUGGGCGAGCUNNNNNNNNNNNNNNNNNNNNNNNNNNNNNNNNNNNNNNNNNNNNNNNNNNNNNNNNNNNNNNNNNNNNNNNNNNNNNNNNNNNNNNNNNNNNNNNNNNNNNNNNNNNNNNNNNNNNNNNNNNNNNNNNNNNNNNNNNNNNNNNNNNNNNNNNNNNNNNNNNNNNNNNNNNNNNNNNNNNNNNNNNNNNNNNNNNNNNNNNNNNNNNNNNNNNNNNNNNNNNNNNNNNNNNNNNNNNNNNNNNNNNNNNNNNNNNNNNNNNNNNNNNNNNNNNNNNNNNNNNNNNNNNNNNNNNNNNNNNNNNNNNNNNNNNNNNNNNNNNNNNNNNNNNNNNNNNNNNNNNNNNNNNNNNNNNNNNNNNNNNNNNNNNNNNNNNNNNNNNNNNNNNNNNNNNNNNNNNNNNNNNNNNNNNNNNNNNNNNNNNNNNNNNNNNNNNNNNNNNNNNNNNNNNNNNNNNNNNNNNNNNNNNNNNNNNNNNNNNNNNNNNNNNNNNNNNNNNNNNNNNNNNNNNNNNNNNNNNNNNNNNNNNNNNNNNNNNNNNNNNNNNNNNNNNNNNNNNNNNNNNNNNNNNNNNNNNNNNNNNNNNNNNNNNNNNNNNNNNNNNNNNNNNNNNNNNNNNNNNNNAGCGGCUGCAAGUGAACGAUGGCAGGCUCAACUCAGGGCAGCGGCGGAGUGUGGCUGGGUCACGGGUCACGGAGCUUGGUCGUGGGUCGCUGGGCGACAGCGGCGGCGGCUGCGGUGCGGGGCUCGGCCGUGGGGUCUCGAGCAGCGGACGUUGAGGAGCGGAGCAGCGAGGACGGCCGGUCAAGUCGUGGGUUGGCGCGGGGUCGACAAUCGAGCAGAUCUCGAAGUCGUGGGUCACGGCGCGGUGAGAUCUGAUGCGGUGGUGGCGAACGGAGGCUCAGACCUACAGAUGCGUCGAUCGGGCAUGAGGUGGAGGGGCGGUCUUUGGGGCUCCGGCAUCGCUGGGUCGUCGGCAGAGGCUUCGGGUGCAGGUCUGGUGUCGUGAGGGGAGAACACAGAGCGGCAAGCGACGGAUUUGGGGACGCAGAGGUCGACGACACCAUCGGGCGCGGGUUCGGCGUCGCGGCGUGCAGGGGGCGCGGUGGCUGCUCCGACGAACGGCCAGUAUGGUGGCGGUGAGGAGGCAUCGAGCGCAGUCGCCGAUGCGGUGGAGGGAGACGACGGUGUGGCUCUGGGUCACCGUUGGCUCAGCUGCCGGCGCGAGCGCGCCGGCACGGUCGUGCGAGGAGACGCCGGGGAGGAAGAGCGACUAGCCAAAAGAAGAAAAAAGAAAAAAAGAAAAAAGAAAAAAAAGAAAAAAAAAGAAAAAAAGAAAAAAAAGAAAGAAAAUAGAAAAAAUAAAAUAAAAAUAUUAAAAAAUUAAAAGAAAUAAAAAAAAUUAUACAAAUUUACCAAACGUAUUUCUGUUCAUUUUUUAUUCCUAGAACAAGUUUAUCAAACACGUUUUUUUUGUUUAAAAAUUGUUCUCCGAAACAGAAACACUUUUUUAAAUUUUUGUUUCCUGGAACAAUUUUAAAACAGAAAUGUUACCAAACGCGCCCUAAGUAGCACCAACACCGAUGCAUGACAUGCGACACGUCAUUUUUUUUAAAAAUUAAAGAAUUUUGACACGUUAAGACAUGUUAUAUAUUAAAUAUACAUUUUUAUAUACAUAAUAAACUAUCAUUUUUAUGAUUAUUUCAAUCAAAUUAAUUUGAUUCAAAUUCACAAAUAAAUAAAUAAUAAAAAAGCUCACAAUGAAUUUACAUUAAAAACAUUAAUUUACCAUUUAUUAAUAUCAUUCAUUGUUUCGAUUUAAAAAAUUCAACUUCAUUUCAAUAAUCUAUAAAACUUAGAGGAAAAAAAACAAGCAAUUCACAUUCUGAACUCACAUGUCAGAUGUGUUGAAAGAAAAGAGAAAAAAAACACUUAAUAGAAGAAUUAUGUACUAUCGAAAGUGAGAGUUAGAAUAAAAAAGAAUAUUAGUUUUUUCCCUAGUUAUUAUAUAUAUAUAUAUAUAUACAUUUGACCUCUCAUUUAUUGAAAUUUUUUAAAAAUGACAUCGUGAGCUAGAAUUACGUGUUGGAAACUUGCAUUUUACAAUUCCAACUCGACGUUGAAGUGUGUCAAGAAAGUUACACGUGUUAACUAAAUGUUGGAGAAUGUCCGAGAAUAUCGAACAUGUGUCAGAUUGUCUGAUAUGACACGAAAGUUUCUAAAGAGUGUCGGUACCUUAUCCUUAUCCAUCGAUCCAAUGCACAAUGCUAGCCUUUUGAGAGAUAGAUCAGGAUAUUAUAGGGCCUAUUCAUAAGAAAGUUUUGUAAUUAUCUGACUAGGGAGGACAAGAUAUAAAAAAUUUACGUGAAACCUUAUAAAUUACAGUUUGUAUCUACUAAAAAUUGCACCGAGCAUCACCGGAGAGGCAGCUUGCAUCAUUGGAUACAUAAUUGUACGGGAGCAGCAGCCUACGUCAUCGGAUACGUACUUUUCUUUUUUUUGACUAAGGGAUCGCCGAAGAUCACCCUUCGGGGAUCACAUGACCCUCUAGUGCUCGGUAGUAUCGGUGGGGCCUCGCCACAAACUGUUAUUUAGAUGUAAACCUUUGGGGGGCUGGCCUAGUAAAUCGUCCUUGGGACCCCCGCUUAAGUCGCAAACAUUCGGAGAUUCGAAUUCGUUCCCUCGGCGAUGAGGUAGUAAAACCCAACCAUCACGGCUACCUACGGAUGGGUUAGGAUACGUAUUUGUUGGAAGCGCAUUUUUCUCUAUAUUAACUUUAAUUCCAUAACAUCACUUAAACAAAAGUUGUUCCUUGGAAGAGAACCGACUGACGAGGUAAUGGUCUGCAGUCAACAAAGGUUGAACUUCCUUCAUUUUUUUACCUCCCUUUUUUGAAAAGAUUAUGUUUUGUUCAUAGAUAAACUAUGUUGGUGCGGUUAAAAGGUACAAUUUUCUAAGGGGGGUUGUUCUCCAAUUGACAACAAUUGACCACACACCUCUCUGGCUGGUCAUUGAAUUGGCCAUCAAGAAUAUUAAUAAAAUAUUAAACUCAUGUCCCUCGAGCACCAGGGUUAACCUUAAUAAUCACAAAUUUUCUAUUACCAGCAAGAAGACUAGGAGGGGUCUCCAUCAUGGUCAAAGGGGGUGAUCACUUUAAGAAAGCAAAAGCAAAAUCAAAAUUUUCUACUAAAUCAUCUGAUCAAAACAAGAAAAAACAAGAUCAAGCCGUUGUUAAUUGCUCGGACUAGCCUCGAAACUACCCCAUUUUGUUUGUUCGGGUUUGUCGGAAUUGUGGGAACCGGGUAGAUUAUCUGCCAAACCGGAGGAUUAUCGACUUAUAACCUUGAGCAUUAGACAAGCGUGUGCUUGCACAAAUUGGGUUAUGUGAUUAGGUGCCCACGGCAAUCAGUACCUUAAUCACUUGGAGAAAAAAGAAUUGGCUAGAUUCUUAAUUUUCUUCUACGUGGAAUGGUGCCAACUGCUUAAAAUGUAGCAUGCGAAGGAAGUACCCUAGAAACUGGUGAGGAACUCAAAAUCCCCAUUAAUUUAUCUUUUCCCGCCUGCGAUAAAACAAGAGUGCAACUGGAGCUGGCCUUUUCAGUAUCCCUUUCGAGUUAGACAUUAUACCGAGUUUAAGAAAUCGGUUUGUACUACGAUGGUCGGAAAAAUUUCGUAAGGGUUUUCAGACAGCACACUGUGUCAACGUUUGCUCUAGCGGAAGGGCCAUCCUUGUCACUCGCCUGCUCAGCAUUCGCACUACAGAAUCGGCUUCCGAUUUCUUCCUGUGUCGUCUCACUCGGCCGUCUUAGCUUGCAUUCUUUGCCUAAUUUACGGGGGAUUCGAAUGAAGCGCAAGAUCAGUCGAUCGAAGACUGAUUUUCGUUUUUGUGUGUGUGUGUGUGUGUGUGUGUGUGUGCUCAUCUGGUGGCUUUUUGCAUCACGCAAAUAGAGAUUGUUCUUUAAUUAAUAACAUUAAUUCGUACGAUCGUAUUAAAAAAAAAAAAAAAAGACAUGAACAUGCGUAGAAAGAGCCAUUGCGUGUAGGCCAUGUAAUCAAGCAUUCCACAAUUUUGUGAUAUUACUGAGAUGAAGGCGUCGAAAUAGGCUAAUCAGUUGUAGCCCCUCACUGGUCAGGAAUUUUCUUGGAAGAUUUAUGACCAAUUGAAAAAUUGCCACGUUGGAAUCUUAGAAUAAUCAUCCGAUCACGCCCUAGAGGGCUGGAAAAUAUUAAAAAUAACUUUAAGAAUGGUGUAUGGAUUCUGCACUUGUAGUAGGUCAGAUAUCAAACAACAUAAUCUGACUCUGACUUCACGUUAUUGUAUCUCAUCGUACCUCAGAAGAUACAUGGCAGGACUCUAUUCUUUACAUUGAAGAACACCAAUGAUUCUUUUUUCACGUAAAUAAUGAAGGAUUCCCUUAUUAUGUUCCUAUAUUUUAGAUUGUAAUAUUUUUCUCAAUUUCUCUUUGAACUUAUUCCUUUCUAGGAUUGGAAUCUUUUUUCAUUACUAUCGACGGCACUAACCUAAAAUGAUAUAUUAUUAUUAUUAUUAUUAUUAUUAUUAUUAUUAUUAUUAUUAUUAUUAUUAUUAUUAUUAUUAUUAUUAUUAUUAUUAUUAUUAUUAUUUUGUAGACUUGCCACGAAAACCCCAAAAUCUCUCCCUGAUCGUCGCGCCUCGCAGUUAUUUUUGCUCUCUUCUCGUUACCUCAAACUUGUCGUCCCAGCCCCUUCGUUGCCGCCCAUCAUAAGCUCCUCUCCCUCCCUCCCUCUGUGAUAUAGCCUCACACCUCAAACAAUAAAAAUAGGUUGCAAUCUCAAUGGGAUUAUUAACUCCCAUAUUGUUAGAAUCUGCUAUCUCAAGGAAGAUGUCAAUUUUAUCACGGGUAUAGCCGAUUCAUUCAAUUUAGUUGUAUGCGUGCACUCGCGCGCGAGUAGACAGGGAGAUGGGCGACAUAGGCUAGUGGUGUAAUGCGGCCAAGACAGGCUAAAGAGGUUGGCAGAGAUGACAAAUGACAAUGGUGGAGGAGGCGGUGGGAAGAUUAAAUCUAGAAGAUGCAACUUUUAUUAUGUCCAUCCUUUAUUUUUCUCGUAAUUCAGGCGUAUGAGCACGCGCAUACAAAAUCACAAGGUUAACUAACUAGAGGCUCACGGGACAACUUACUAGUCUCAUGAACUAAAUAAUUUGGACAUUUAGCCUAUGUAGAUGAUUAUGAUUUAGAGCAAUUUGCACCCAGUUGAUAGGAAUCUUUUCAAGAGAGUGAAUAAAAGAUGUUAAUGUUUUGACCUUCCUGUCUGCCAUGGCUGUCCGCCACGGCCACCAUCUGCGGCCCUUUGAGAGGGAGAAAUUUUGACAAUUGGAAGAAAAACCAUAUACUUUUCAAAAGGGAGCUUAAAGUCGAGGCGUGACGAGGUAACUAAUGUCACGGGAAAGAGUGAAUUAGUUGCCAUUUAGCAUCGCAAAAUGGCCGGCCCCAUCUUCUUACAUUAGAAUUGCAAAUUCAACUUGUCACAUGAUAUCAUCCUUAAUCGACCUAAGUCAUAUCCGAGGAAUAAUCUUACCUUGAUAGCUAAGGGCGCGCAUGACAAUGCAAAUUUUUUAUUUCAGAAACAAUUUUUCUAUUCCAGACUUAUUUCAAGAAGAGAAAUCUAUUUGAUGAUGCAAUUUCGUUUUUUUAAAACAAAAAUGAGAAGUCAUUUUUAUUUUUAUUUUUUAUUUCUAGAAUAGAAAUGAGAAAUAAUAACUCUUCUCAUCUCUUGUCCUCUCAACUAGUCGGCCACUCACCCACUGUCUACCAUGGCUAUCUGCCACCAUCGCCAUCUGUGGCCCUUCGAGAGGGAGAAAAUUUGACAAUUGAAAGAAAAACAAUCUACUUUUUAGAAGGGAGCUUAAAGUCGAGGCGUGACGAGGUAACUAAUGUCAUGGGAAAGAGUGAAUUAGUUACCAUUUAGCAUCGUGGAAUGGUCGGCCCCAUCUUCUUACAUUAGAAUUGUAAAUUCAACUUGUCACAUGAUAUCAUCCUUAAUCGACCUAAGUCAUAUCCGAGGAAUAGUCUUACCUUGAUAGCUAAGGGAGCCCAUGACAAUGCAAAAUUUUUGUUUCGGAAACAAUUUUUCUAUAUUUAUUUCUGGAAGAGAAAUCCGUUUGAUGACGCAAUUUUGUUUUUUCAAAAAGAAAUGAAGAGUAAAUUUUUUUUAUAAAAAUUUCUGGAACAUAAUGAGAAAUAAUAACUCUUCUCAUCACUUGUCUUCUCUACUAGUCGGCCACCCACUUGCUGUCUGCCAUGACUGUAUGCCGCCACCGCCAUCUGCUGCCCCUUGGGAGGGAGAAAUUUUGACAAUUGGAAGAAAAACCAUAUACUUUUUAGAAGGGAGCUUAGAGUCGAGGCGUGAUGAGGUAACUGAUGUUACGGGAAAGAGUGAAUAAAGUUACCAUUUAGCAUCGUAGAAUAGUCUGCUCCAUCUUCUUACAUUAGAAUUGCAAAUUCAACUUGUCACGUGAUAUCAUCCUUUAUCGACCUAAGUCAUAUCCAAGGAAUAGUCUUACCUUGAUAGCUAAGGGCGCGCAUGAUAACGCAAAAUUUUUGUUUCAAAAAUAAUUUUUCUAUUCCAAACUUAUUUUUUGAAGAAAAAUUCGUUUGAUGACGCAAUUUCGUUUUUUCAAGACAAAAAUGAGAAGUAAUUUUAUUUAUUUUUUAUUUAUUUCUAGAAUAUAAAUGAGAAAUAAUAACUAUCCUCAUCACUCAUCCUCUCUACUAGUCGGCCACCCACUCGCUAUCUGCCAUGGUUGUCUGCCACCGCUGCCAUAUGUCGCCCCUUGAGAGGGAGAAAUUUUUUGUUAUUAUCAAAUGAAAUUCUAGUCUGGAAACAUAAGUUUUGCGUCGUUAUCAUACACGAAUUUUUACUCAGAAACUCAUAUAGGAAUAAAAAUAGAAAAUUCUAUUUUUCUUUUAAAAAUCAAUUUUUAGCUAGAAUGGUUAUUAUUUGCGUCCUAAUUGGUUUCCAAAGAUUUCUUGAAGUACUAAAAGAUAGUAUAUACAACUAUCAUGACGAACUAAUGCUGUCUUGGAAAUUUAGAAAAAUGCAUUUUCAAGUACGUUCAAGCUAACAAAUCAUGGAUUAUGAGACAAUUAAGGGUGCCUUUGAUAACUAUUAUGUUCUCAAAGGCAACUUUCAUUCAGAAAUGGUUUUAUGUGAUUUUGUCUUCUAGAUGAGUUUUUGAGCAUUUGAAGACAUUUGGUAACUAUCUAAAAGUUUCAUUUUCGGAAUAGAAAUGCAUUUAAUAUGAUCCUCAAAUUCUUUUGUAAGUUAGAAUUUUUUUAAUUUUUUAAUAAUUUUAUUACAUUUUUCUUUUCUUCUUCUUCUUCUUCUUCUUCUUCUUCUUUUAGUCGGUCGCCAGCCUCAGCCAUAGUUGAUGACUAGCCUUGCAAGGGGUCGGUGACCUUUCGACAAGGUCGUUGGCCAUUGCUAAGGCAGAUGACAAGCUAAAAGAAUAAAAAGAAAAUAAAAAGAAAGAAAGAAAAUGUUUGAUUCUAGAUUGUUCCUGGGAAUAAAGAAGCAAUAUUUCUUUAUUUCUUAAUUCUAUUCCAAAUCUAUUUUCGAGAAUAAAAAAAUUACCAAACAGAUUUCUGUUUUUUUUUUUUUUUUGUUCUAGAAAAUAAAAUAAUAAAAUCAAACACUAUUUAACAUGUUAGGAGGUCCUAAGCAUCUUACGAUCAUUCUUUUAAGUGCAAUUUUGAAUCAAUAUUUCACCCUAGCUUCACAAGCACCCGGUAACUCUUUUGUUAAAAAACUAUCCCUCCAUAGAAACCCCUCUCAUCGAAUUGAAAAUUCAACUUGUCCUUGUGAAUCACCCUCCAAAAACAUCACCUUCAAGGAGCCAAACGAUUCAAAGGGCCACUUCCAAAUUCCAUGAAAGUGCCCCUCGUUGCUUAUCCUCCCUCCCCAAGUCAUCGAAGAGAUCACGAGAUUUUGCGAGCGGAUGCGUCGUAGUAGGUGGAAUAAGUGAGUUGUUAUGAAAAGUACACAUUAUGCGAACGCAUAAUGAUUCCAUCAUAUUCAGAAUUCCAUCACAUAAUCUUCUUGGGCAUGCUAGCUGUGAGCCUAUUAAGAGGCAGAACACCCUUCAAAAGGCCAUCUAAGGAUAAACAAUAUACAUUAAAAUUAGAUAAAUGAGCAUUUAUCAAACUCAUCAAACAAGCAAGAAAUCAUUAAUUAAAACGACCCUAACAUAAGACAUGAAGGUAUCCUAGAAACUCAUGAAAAGAGCCCCUUUUUGCUCAUAGUGGAUAUGCCCAAGAAGUGUCCGAAGACCAAGCUCUGAUCUCCUUAUGGGUCAACUCUCGAUCCAAAAUGAUGACGUGCUUGUCCAACCACUCGAUGCGCAUGUUGCCGGAGUGGUCAAUUGCGUAAGGUUCCCCUCUUCCGCCGGUCCAUGGAGAGAGAGAGCCCUAAAAGAAUAAUCGCCGCUAAAUUUGAAAAAAAAUAUGUGAAAAUGAACUCUUCCAAUGACAUUAUCCAUUGGAGUUUAUUGGAAAUUUUAUUAUGAAAGAGGGCAGUAAACGCGUUCGGGAAAGGGGGCAAAACCUCUUGUUCGGUGCGGGUGAGGCAUUUGCGGACGAUCUUGCCCUCUUAUAGUGUCUGAUUUUAUGCUUUUAUUUCCUAAAAAAAAAAAAACAGAAAUCCGUUUGGUAAUUUUUUUUAUUCUCGAAAAUAAAUUUGGAAUAGAAUUAAGAAAUAAAAAAAUAUUGCUUCUUUAUUCCCCGGAACAAUCUAGAAUCAAACAUUUUCUUUUUUCUUUUCUUUUCUUUUCUUCUUCUUCUUUUAGCUUGUCAUUGGCCUUAGCAAUGACCAAUUUAAGUGAGAUAAUCCUUCAAUCCUAGAACUUCUAGUACCAACCAUCAUGACACCACUCCCACGGACCAGUUAUGUUCGUCCCCUCUGAUUCCUCACUCUUCACUCGAUAACCCCAAGCUUCACUCCCAAGGGUCCACGGGUACGGGAGGAUUCACGGACCGUGACACUUUCGUACUAGCUUUGCAAAUUGAGCCAAUAAUUUACAAUAUGUUCAUGACUUUUGUUGACAAUUUUCCCUACAAGAAAAUGACAUGUCGAGUCUUUUGAAUGCCAUCAUCGGAUGAAAACUUGAUGGAACUAGAUUUGGGUGCCAAUUGAAGGUUCAUGUUUUUUAUUAGAUAAUAAAAGUUUUGGGUUAGAAUCCAAGCUAGAGUUCGUGAUUCUUCACGAGACAAAAAAACUUUAGGUUAGCAUUGGGGAUACAAAAAAGUUUAGUCCAGAACUAAGAUUCAAGUAAAGUUAGCAUCUUUUCCGCGAGACAAAAAAGUCUGGUCCAAAAAUUAAGACCGGAACUGAAGUCGAUAUUCUUGAAGGAAUUGAGCCUUAUUUGUUCAGAAUUAUCAAUCCCAAGGGUGUCGCCCAAUUCGCCUAACAGCUAAGUAAUGUCUGGACAUGGGGAGCUGGUGAAAUGCUCGCUGGGAAUCAUCAAUUCGCAUGGUGUUGUCAGAUUCGUCUCUUGCGAUUCUUUUAUUCUAUUUAAUUUCAUCUUUUAAAUUUUCACGUUAGGGAAGGUAACUGCCAUUUUACUUUAGAUAAUAAUUUAAGAGGGGCUUCUUUAUUGUAUUUCAUCCCAUCAUUCAAUCAUAUGUAUAUAGGUUUAAAACACAAUUGAUAAGAAAAUGAUUUGAUGAUAAUAUGCACAGCAGAAGUGAGCGUUUCUAAACAACUCAAUAUAUUGUAGAAAACACCUAUGUUAAUUUUUUCUUUUCUUUUACUCAACGUUAAAUCUACGAAUUUGUUCGACAACAUAGAAAAUAAUUAGGUUUCUUAGAAUCUUAUCUUUUCAAUGAAACUAAUUGCUACGGAAGUAAAUACUGGAAAAAAUAAAAAAACAAAAGAAGGAAAGUGAGGGAGUUUGGGGUCACGGCCAGUAUAAUGAUUCGGCGCAAUUUUAUUUUUCCAUUGAAAAUUCGAUUUUAUUUUUCCAUUGAAAAUUCGACUGAUGUUAGUCGGGUAAAAAAAGUGUCGUCCUAUUAUUUUUACUGUUAUCAUUUACAUGACCGGGACGAGUUAGAAAUAAGUAGGGUUUUGCGGCCGAAACAUUUGGAUGGCCUGUGAACGAGAACACCGAGCAAUCAAAGGGCUAUUACUCAUGACGGUGAAAAAUUCUCAAUCAUCACCUGGGAGCCGACUUUGAUAUUCUCAGACAAGACAUGCAUAAGUCACUUUCACUCUCCUCAGUCCUCACCGGGUCUCCUUCGAGGAAAGAAGUCCCCCAUCAUUCCUUCUAAAGACGGGGAAAGACGAGGAAAGACUCGUCCUUUUUUUCGGUGGUGUAGUUUCUGAGAGAUUUUGUGACUGUGCAACGCAUAUUGCCCGACUCCGAUUGGCUGGAAGACCGAAGAGGAGGACUAUAUCCAUGCUUGAAGAUGCGGGAAAUAUUGGGGUUAAGAGGGCGGGGGUGGAGGAGAUGCUAUGAUACCUCUGCCCACUUUCUUGAAUCGCUUUAUUGCUUUUGUAGUAAAACUGUCUCUUGGCUUUUGGACUUUUACAUGACUUUCUUUGGUCAUCUGCAGAUCCGCUUGGAAAAGAAGAAAGCUUGUAGAUAUAUAUGAGACGGCUUCCCUCCUACCGUCGAAGAUCACAACAGAAACCCAGAGCUGCUCUAACUCUAGGCUUUAGGAACUCAACUCGACCUGUUGUAGAACAGGCACAAAGCCAGUCAUGCAGCGAACCACGUCCUCCAUUCCCGGGAUCGAGCAAGAGACCCACCCCCACCAUUCUUGCUGGUGCCGCAAGGUGAUCCAACCGUGCUUCGUGAGUGCGGUAGUCUCUCUCUGCUUCCCCAUCAUCAUCUUCCUAGCCAUCCCCGCCACCAUGUCCCCCACGUUCUCCCUCGAUCCGGCCUCGUCGCUCUCUUCCUUCAACGUCUCCACCUCUCAUGUUGCCACCGAAUGGACCCUUGUCUUCCCCAUUGAAAACCCGAGCAAGCUUAUCCCAGUCAAGUACUCCCACAUGAAAGCCACCAUUGUCUUGGACUCCGCUCCUUUGGCUCACGCCAAGUUCAGUUCUUUCAUCCAGAAAGCUGGGAGCCUCACGAAUGUUCGAGCUCAUUUUCACUCUGCCUUGCCCAGGGCGAACGAGCUCUCUAUGAAGAGUCUCGUGUCAGGUUUGGAGCAUGGUGAAGUGAUGGUCGAUGUCGUUUUGAGCUCUGGCCGGAGGCUCGGCUUCGGCACGUGGUGGGUUCCUGUAUUUGACGUCUCUGUGACAUGCAACGACCUGAUAUUUACUGCUGAAUCUGAUGGUGGUGGUCUGACGUUGCUCGUCGGCAGCAGCUAUUGCGUUCUAGGUUUCUUCAGUUACGUAUAGAUGCUCAAGUUCUGUGUUAUAAUGUUUAUUUUUCCUUAUUGGUUGGUGUCAUCGCUAGCUUUCGUGUACCUCGCCCAAUCUACCUUGGCGAUCUUAAAAGGCAUACCUUCCUUUUAUAGUUUGAUGCAUUCGGGAUUUUACUUCUAAAAUGCUCUUAUAAUUUAGUGCAUUUUAUUUAAAAAUUUAUGUUGACAAUUUUGUAGAUGACGAUAGUCAUUUUCUUGGAUUUAAUUAAUCAUGUGUAUAUAUACGAAACUACGGCUUGCAAUACGCGGGUUUUUGUAUGAUCCAAGAAUAGCAGCAACCGAAUCUUGAACUAGCAAUGGAUCUUCUGUUGUAGAGGACUAAGUUACCCCAAGAUGACCAAAAAUGCCUAUAUCUCUCCGGUAAUUCACCUCCAAAAACCCAGACCUAAUCCUAGUCCUCCUCUCCACUAUGCCUCUGGAACCACCGAAGUCGCCUCUAAACAAAGACACGGUAGUUAUAAUUAGCGGUGUAAAAAAUACUCGAACCGGCUGGUUGAUACCCCAAACCAUAGCUUAUAAGAGCCAACCCUACGCCGACCGGAUUGAGCCGAGCCGAGCCGAACCCACCCAUCCUAAAAAAUGAUUGUCAACGAAUUGACCUGAACAACGGAUUAGGCCAAUUUGAAGGCCAGCCCGGCCCAAACCAACCACCGAUGACCACAUGACAUCUAGCCUAGUUAUUGUGAAUGGAAGGGCUGUUGCUUGGGCUUGGGCUCAAGUUGGAUGAUGGCUUGAUCUAGAGAAAUUCCAUCUAACCCACGAUUAUAAAUCCAACACUAGAUCCAAUUUGUCAAGAUGGCGACAGACUCGCUCGUGAAGAUUACGCACAAGUUUGUUCUCUCCAUUACUUCGGCCAUGCUUGUCCAAUGCUUGGUAUGGCUUGCUCUUUAGAUUUUGUAUGAUACUAUGGGCCCGUUUGCUUCGGCUUUUGAGAAAUGCACUUGCAAAAAUGCAAAUACCUUUGGGAGAAUGGGAUUUUCCGAAAUGAAAAUAAUGUUUGGUAAAAUUUGUAUUGAGAAACAACUUUGAUCAAAAUACUGUUUGAUAAAAUUUGCAUUUGUAAAUGACUUUUAUUAAAUUAAAAAAAAAAAACAAAAAAGAAAUGUAUUUUUUUUUUUUUUGAAGUUUGGCCACCAAAUCGCCGGAUUUGGUGGCCGGACCGCCGGAUUUGGCGGCCAGAUGGCCAGAUUUGGCCCCCAGAUGGUCGCCGGGGUCGCACGACCUCAAGCAACUGUUGCCUGGGUUGUGCGACCUAGGCGUCACCUAAGGUUCGGCGACGGUGGGGACUUGCAUUUCAAAGAUGCAACUUCCCAAAGUACUUCCAGAGCUAUAUUGGGUUAAAGGCCUUUAGAGCAACUUAGAGAUGCAAUUGCAUCUUACCAAAGUCGUCCAAAAAAACGAACCAAACACAUUUGCAUUUAGCCAAGGGAUUUUAGAGUCCCAAAGUGUCUUCCAAAUGCCCAACCAAAUAGGGCCUAUGUUCCAUAAUAAGAACUAAUUUUAAAUGGGCUUGGAAAAGUGGAAAAAAUGGAUGCUUUGGCUUUGUAAUUACUGAAGAAAAUUUACAUAUCGUAUUUAUCUACAAAGUUUUUUUUUUUUGUCAGUCAUACUCUAUUCAUAUUAUACACUCACUCUCAGGUUUUUGCCCUGCCUUUUGCAGGGUGUGGGAGUCGAAACCCACUCCUGAAACUUACGUGUCCCCAUCCCAUCCCCCUGAGAAUGUGGGGAUUUGAACCCCUCACCUCCCCCUUCCAUGUUGGAAGGGUGACCACUGGCGCGAAUCCCAGUGAUUUAUUUAUCUACAAAGUUACUAAAGCCAACUUUUGAAAUCGGACUCCACCCCUUAAAUGUUGUUAAUUAAUACUCUUGCUAAACUUGAGCAAGUCAUAAUUAUGCCAAAAGUUAAAAAAGAAAAAAAGGGUCUACUUCACUUCCACUGAAUGACCAUUCCCCACCCAUCAUUUUUAUUGUUUUCAAAUCCACACGCCCUCUUCCACGUUCCUCUUCGCAGAGAUAGGCUAUAAUUUCCCCAUUUCCUUUUUCUUUUUUAUCCCAUCAACUUUCGUUAAGAUUAAGGAAAUUGUUAACAUUGCUAAAAGACGAUUGCUCUAAUUAAUAUACAAUACAAAAGAUCACAUUAAAAUUGCGAUUACAUUAGAAUACAAUGAAGUAGGGAGAUAGGUACUCCUUAAAGACGGGGAAAUACUUGUUCUUUUUUCGUUGAUUUGCUUUAUGCCAGAUUUUGAAUGACAUUGCAACCCGUAUUGCACGACCGGCAUUGACUCGCCAACCGAAGGAGGAAGAGGAGGCUAUGUAUGUGCUUGCAGAACCUAAAGCUUGUGGAACGCAGAGCUGCUCUAACUCUAAAAGCUUUAGGAACCCAACUCGACCCGUCGUAGAACAGGCGCAAAGCCAGUCAUGCAGCAAACCACGUCCCCCGUUUCCGGGAUCCAGCAAGAGACCCACCGCCACCGUUCUCGUCGGAGUAGCAAGGCGAUCCUACUGUGCCUCGUGACAGCGGAGGUGUUUCUCUGCUUCCCCAUCAUCAUCUUCCUAGCGAUACCCGUCACCAUGUCCUCCACGUCUGCCCUCGACCGGGCCUCAUCGCUCUCUUCCUUCAACGUCUUUGACUCUCGUAUCGCUGCCGAGUGGACCCUUGUCUUCUCCGUCAAGAACCCGAGCAAACUUGUCCUAGUCUAUGAAUCAUCAACACUUUUCAAGAGGCUUCGUGUCUUAUCGGACACUUCGACACAUGUCCGACACUCUCUGACACUCGGUGAACACAUACCGAAAAAUUCGACACCUUGUCAACUUUUCCGAUAUUUUUCGACACUUGAGUUGAGAUUAUGACAUACGAGUUUCCGCUACGUGAUUUUAAUAUCGAGGUUAAUUUUAAAAAUACAAUAAAUGAGGUCAAAAUAUAUACGUGAAAAAAUAAAAUACAAUAAUAAAAAUAAUAAAUGGAGAAAGAAGAGAAAUCUAGUUUUCUCUUUUUUUUUUACUCUCACUUCACAUGAUACAUAAUUCACCCCCUUAAAGUUUUUUUCUCCUCUUUCAACAUAUCUAACAUGCGAGUCCAGAAUAUGGAUCACUUGUUUUUUCUCAAAGUUCUAUAAAUUAUUGAAAUAGAGUUGAAUUUGUCAAAUUGAAACAAUGAAUGAUAUUAAUAAAUGAUGGAUUAAUGUUUUUAGUGUAUAUUCAUUCAGAGCCUGGUAGCGUUUUUAAUGAUAUCCAUUCCAUGCGCUUGACAGGUGAAUCCAGUGCUGAGAAGAUCUCCUCUCAUCAUGUCUACAGAACCUGAAAUCCUCGAAGCACCAGUGUCCCUUGUACCUUCGUCUUCAUCCUCAACACCUCCUGAGUUUCGUGUCUCUAAUGCUUCUAAGAUAGACUAUCUUUAUGAAGUCUCUCUUAGUGAUGAAACCAAGAUUUCUGAAACCCAACUCCCCCUCAUGAACCCUUAUUCUGCUUUCGCAAAACCAACCUCUUCAUUUUCACCCAUCCGCUCCAUCCGCCAACUUAUUCACCAAAAUCCAAAGCAAGUAAAGGAGUACGUUCAGUCCUCCAAAUUUGACCAGCAUCCUAUUCCUGCUACUGAAAAGGAAUAUUUUGUUACUCUCCAGAUCCCUCCAGAAUUUCCCAGACAAUGGGCUCAACAGGGAUACACCCAUGUCCAUUAUGGAGCUGUUCGUCUUGCUCUGACUUUCCACGGUCGAAAAGGUUUGCCAAUUGUGGCAAGAGUAGCAUUGCUAGACACCAGGUUUUUACAAUACCAGCAUGCUUGCAUUGGUACUGUUCAAACUACCUUGAAUGCAGGAACAGUCUUUGUCACUCUAUAUCCCAAUUUCAACAUCGCUCUUUCGGAUCCUCAAUUACUUUCUUUUAUGAAAGUCCAAGUUCAGCUUACUGGAGCCCCUCAAACUGCUGACUCCGUAGCGGCAACACUACAUUACCAGAUGGUUUAUCGAGUACAAAACCAUGCACUUGACCUCAAUUUCAACAAUGGUAAUGAAGAUGCCUUGUUCAUUUCCAUGCAAAAUGACCAGGCAUCCUGUAUCCAUGUUCCCAGACAGAUCCCAAAGGAUACGUUGGCCAAGCUUCUUCCAGAGACUUGGAUUACCAACUACGAAAAGUUACACCAGCACAACAAACCUUUCCAGUCUACGGACUCAGAGUUCGUAAGAAAAAAAGAUGGAACUGUUUCCAUCAAAUUUGGCAAGGAAAAGGAAGAAAGUCCUUCUAUCUUCCAAACCCUCCUCAUGAUUGAACCAUGUGUCCCUCAAUCUAUUUCCGAGCCAGAUCCAAAGAAGCAUGUUAGACAUUUUGAUGGUAAUGGACAUCCUGUUCAUUACUAUAAAAACAAUUAUGGUCAUUGUUUUUGGGACCCUUUUUGUCAAUGUUCUCAAUGUACAAAUUCCCUCGACGAGGUAGAUCCUUUUGCAAGACCCCUACCUCGACGAAAAAGGCCAAAGGAUAAAAUGUUCCAAAGGUACUUAGACGGAGAUUCCUCUGUUGGUACUCUUGGUGAAUGUGACAAAUACCAAUUCAUGGUUUCUUACACACCACCAUCUCCUCCCCAGAAAAAACAAGUUCUCUCUCCAUUCUAUAAGCCAAUCCUUAAGUGGGCCAAGAAGCAUUCUUACCCCCUCGAAGUUCUAGAAGAAGCACCAUCUACUUCUUCUAUCGCUAUGUUUCAGGAUAGUGACUUUCCUCCUCUUGUCAAAGAAAGUUCUAAACUCUCGUUCCCUGCUGCAGAAAGUUUAUUGAUCCUCAUGGCAGAUACCGCCAUAUUCCUAAAAUUCCUACCCCCACUGAUGUGGAUGAACAUGGGAAACAGAAAAAAAAACCCCUGCCGCCGAAGCUAUUCUAAAUUGGCAAUCAGAGACUAUGUUAGCGCAAAACAAUGCCUUCAAGGCAAUUGACUCCAAAAUUGGAAGUGUGCAACAAGAUCUCCGAAGAUAUGAUGAAAGUACCAAGAAGAUACUUUCUGAAUUCCAGAAAAGGCUCCACGCCUUGGAAUCAGGACAACAUCUUGGGUACCAUUAUCUCGAAAGUCCACAGCCAGAAAUAGAAAAGCUCAGAACCCAAAUCCAGCUUCUUGAAGAAGGAAGGUUCAGACCAUUCGACCCAUUAGCACCUCCUGUUAAAACUGGGUAUUUACCCCCACCACCUCAAACCUCCAUUUUUGCCACUAUUCCACCAGAUCCUUAUAGAAGAGAACCAGAUAUGGCAAACUUACGAAAUCGUAUCAAAACCCUGCAGAAAGAUAGGGGGAAAGAAAAGGCAUCACCCGAAAAAACAUCACCUACAAGAUCAAGUUCCAUUGUUAUAAGAGAAAUGCCAGAACAGAUGAUGCUAUCAAAUCCAUUAGAAUCUUUUCUAAAGGAUUUAGGCACCCAGGAACCUGACUCUGUUAUCCAACAGCCUGAACAACCUGAUCCUCCCAAGACUUUGCUCCCAGUAGAGCAAACUUCUCAUGAUACUGAAACAGAAUCUUCAAUAUCCUCCUCCUCAUCCUUCUCAACUCCUACAGUUGAUUCCCUCCCCUUUGCACCAGUCACUUCAUCAAUAUUCAUGGUUGACCCACGAGAUGAUGACAUGGAAUCAGAUUACUCUGAUAUGGAAAUGGGUCAGACAAGCAAUCCUACUCGCAAUCCCACUCAGCAUGUGUCCACUACAUCAAACAUUCUUCACCAUUGAUGAUAUUCCUUACCAGAAAUGGCCACAACGGCUUGAAGAAUUUCAUAACAUGGGCUGAAAACCCAGUNNNNNNNNNNNNNNNNNNNNNNNNNNNNNNNNNNNNNNNNNNNNNNNNNNNNNNNNNNNNNNNNNNNNNNNNNNNNNNNNNNNNNNNNNNNNNNNNNNNNUUCACAGGAAGCUUGAAGUUCUGGUGGCAAUCACUGUCAGAACAGGACCAGAUUCAUUUUCUGAUGUCACUAAUUCAGCGAUGCCUUACUCUCUUAUAUCAUGUCUUUGUGGGAAAACCCGGUGAUCUCAUAGAAAUAAAAAGAAGAGAGUUCUUUGAAAGAAGAUGCUGUUCCCUCCAGAAAAAACAUCUUGAUAAGCAUUUUAAAUUAAUGCUUCAAACCUUUUAUCAAGUUGGAGCAGACCCAAAUUUGAAUCAUGUCUUCCUUACUUCCAUCCCGAAAGAACUAUCCCAGAUGGUUGAAAGAUCGUUCUUUGGAAAGCAAAGACGGGUACAAGAUAUUCCCUUAGGGGAAAUACAGCAAGAAAUCCAUCUAUGCCUAGAAGAAUUAUGCUUAAAACGCAAGAUGGUGCAGACAUACAUCACAGACGACAGGCGCCUUGAAUCAGCCUGUUCCCGUCAGGAGCUGAAAAUCAAAUGCUCCAAGAAAGACUGUGAUGGUACAUGUGGCAAGUAUUCUCGAAAGAAGAAACACUACAAGAAGUUUUGGAUAAAGAAAUCCAAACAUGGCUCCAAGAAUUUCCGGAAAAAGAAGAAAUGGCGAUACCUACGCAAAAGAAAGGAUCGCACAAGCCACAAGAAAUCAAAUCGUUGCUACAUUUGCAAUCAGAAAGGACAUUUUGCUAAAAAUUGUCCUCAAGCGAGAAAAGGUCAGAAUCAUCUAAUCCAUCAUAUUGAGAAGGAAAUAGGUAUUUCUCUCGAAAAUGAUGAUAUAGAAUCCUUAUUCUCUGCUGGUGAAGAACCAUCUGACCAAACUCUUUGUGCCAUUCCUUCUUACCAAACUUCCAGUGAAACUGAGUCAGACUCAGAGUCUGAAGAAAUUUUCCACAUAUCACCAUCAUCCCCAGAACCAAAUCUGGACAUAUUUUCAAGCCAGACUCACUGUCCACACUUCCCUGUAAAAAUUCUUACAUCAAAGUUUGCUAAGCCUAUCACUGUUAUUGCUCUCAUUGACACCGGAGCAAGUUGUUCUAUCCUAGAUACCAAAAUUCUUCCUGAAGAAUUCUGGACCCCUUACAUCCGAUACUUCAAUUCUGCGUCAGGAGAUACUUUCUCCACAAAUGUCAGAACCACUCCUGUGACUGUCCAGUUCUUCCCGCAGUGUUUCAUAAUUGCAAAGAUUUUUGGAUCUAACCUUCCCAAUAAAGAUCUGAUAAUUGGGUGGGACAUCAUGACUCAAAUCUCUCAGCUUCACAUCAUCCCUGGAAAAGGUCUUAGAUAUAAAGAUCAAUUCUCUGAGUUUGUUAAUAUCCAGAGACUGUUUUCCAUUGAAAUGAGUCUACUAGACCCAAUUAUGCAAAAAUUGCUAGAAUCUUGUUCAGAAUCCCAUGCAGAAUUUGCUCAAAAGUGCUCUCAUCCUUUAUGGAAAAAUCCAGAGUUCUUUGUUCGCCUUCCUUUCAAGAAAAAUGAAGACAUAAAUCCAACCAGAGCAAGCCACAUGGGAAUGAAGCCAGAACAUAUGGUUCUAGCCCAAAGGGAAUGCUCGGAACUUCUGCAACAAGGUCUUAUUGAAGUCUCCGACUCACAAUGGGCUUGUGAAGCCUUUUAUGUCAAUAAGCGUGCCGAGCAAAGCAGAGGAAAAAUGAGAUUAGUGAUCAACUAUCAACCUCUCAAUCUUUUUCUCCAAGAUGAUAAAUUCCCUUUACCAUCUAGAGACUCACUCUUUAGUGGUUUAACCAAGGCCCACAUCUACUCCAAAUUCGACCUCAAAGCCGGAUUUUGGCAAUUGGGCAUCCAUCCUGAAGACAGAUCCAAAACAUGAUUCUGUAUUCCAAACCAGCACUUCCAAUGGAAGGUUCUUCCUUUUGGCUUAAAGGUAGCACCAUCCCUUUUCCAAAAGGCCAUGUGUCGCAUCUUCCAACCAAUUCUAUCAAGUGUAGCUGUAUACAUUGACGAUAUACUGCUCUACAGCCCUGAUGAGCAGUCACAUUGUCAACUCCUUGAGCAAUUUGCAGAAAUCGUAAAGAAGCAUGGUAUUAUGCUUUCGCAAAGAAAGAUGAAUAUUGCCCAGACAUAAAUUGAAUUUCUUGGUAUGCACCUUAACAAAGGAACAUACUACCCAGGGCCACAUAUCGCUCAAGAAUUAUUAAAGUUUCCUUAGGAUAACUUCACAACAAAGAAGGUCCAGCAAUUUCUUGGGAUAAUUAACUAUCUCAGGGUUUUUGUCCCAAAUAUUGCAAAGCUUCUGAUUCCUUUGCAAUCCAUGCUGAAGAAGAAUUCCCCACCUUGGGGAAAAACUCAGACCAAAGCAGUUGCUGAACUCAAAGAGAUUAUGCAGAAUCUCCCACCAUUACAAAUACCAUCAACAGGCAAACGAAUUCUCCAAACUGACGCCAGUGAUGAAUACUGGGCAGCCGUUCUUUUUGAAGAAAUUGAUGGUAAGAGACUUCUCUGUGCCCAUAAGAGUGGAAAGUUUUCUCAAGCUGAAAUGCAUUACCAUUCCACCUUCAAAGAAAUCUUAGCAGUCAAAAAUGGAAUCAAAAAGUUUGAGUUUCAUCUCAUUGGCCACCACUUCCUGGUGGAAUUAGACAUGGCAUCUUUCCUCAGAUGACUAAGUUUAAACAAAAGCAGAUUCCAAAUUCACAACUGCUUAGAUGGGCUGAAUGGUUUUCAAAAUACUCAUUUGAAACUAAGCAUAUUCCUGGAAAGAAGAAUGUACUUGCUGACUUCUUAUCAAGGCCAAAAGCACCAGCCGAGAUCAACAUGUAUAUCAAAAGGCCUGCUUUCCAUAUGCUCAAUCAUGGAGUAAAAUACAAAAUCGAGAACAUCAAAGAUUCACAGAGCUGGAAAUAUCCCCAGGAGAUUAUUCAGCAAAUCCAGAACGACAGCCUUGCUGAGAACCUGGAGAACCUCAUGUGGCAAAGCCACACAGACCUAUUCAGAUUCAAUGGAGGUUCGAUUCUUUAUCCUUUUGGGUUAAAUAUGAAUCAUCCAUUCAUUCAUCCUCUUAUCUGGAAGGAAGAUGAUUUUCCUGAGCAGCUCAAAACGUUAUUAUGGUACUUAACCAAUAAGUAUCUAAUAGCUUUCGAAAUCCCACCAAAAAAACCAUUGCUAACCUUACAAAGAUAUUCUUGCUCGGAAGAAACAUUGAANNNNNNNNNNNNNNNNNNNNNNNNNNNNNNNNNNNNNNNNNNNNNNNNNNNNNNNNNNNNNNNNNNNNNNNNNNNNNNNNNNNNNNNNNNNNNNNNNNNNNNNNNNNNNNNNNNNNNNNNNNNNNNNNNNNNNNNNNNNNNNNNNNNNNNNNNNNNNNNNNNNNNNNNNNNNNNNNNNNNNNNNNNNNNNNNNNNNNNNNNNNNNNNNNNNNNNNNNNNNNNNNNNNNNNNNNNNNNNNNNNNNNNNNNNNNNNNNNNNNNNNNNNNNNNNNNNNNNNNNNNNNNNNNNNNNNNNNNNNNNNNNNNNNNNNNNNNNNNNNNNNNNNNNNNNNNNNNNNNNNNNNNNNNNNNNNNNNNNNNNNNNNNNNNNNNNNNNNNNNNNNNNNNNNNNNNNNNNNNNNNNNNNNNNNNNNNNNNNNNNNNNNNNNNNNNNNNNNNNNNNNNNNNNNNNNNNNNNNNNNNNNNNNNNNNNNNNNNNNNNNNNNNNNNNNNNNNNNNNNNNNNNNNNNNNNNNNNNNNNNNNNNNNNCAAAGCAUGGAUACAUCUUUCUAUGCAGAUCCAUCCAGUUGCCUCAACCAAGAAUUCUGACCUCAUGAGAUGCAAAUACAAUGGGCUGAAGUAGAAGCAUCACAUUGGUCUCAUGAACAAGCAUCCUCAUCACAAAGACUGAACCAAAUCCUCUCACCUGAAGAACUUGAAGCCCUUGAACAGAAGUUCGAGGCACAUCUCCUAGAAGACGAUUAGGAUGACUCAGUGCGUAGCUACAAUGCUCGUGACGGACGAGACCGUUGAGUCCGUACAGUUUCACUGUAGCAAAUCACUGUUCACUUUUACUGUAGCACUAGGGUAGGGAAUGUACUGUUCACAGUACAGUUACUGUUCAUAGUGUGCGAAUAAUUCCCUUUCGGUGCCCCUGUUGUACCCGGACCCGUGAGCUAGGUCCCUGUGUGUUUUUGUGACCUCUUAUUGCCUAUAUAAGGCAAGGAGAGUGUAAUGUUUUGGGGAGAGUCCCCGGAAGUAAAGAGUGUGCUUUGUGAAAAUCUCUCCAUGGCUUUCUAAACUCCCUCUUCUUCUCCAGCCUGGUAGGAUCCUUCAAGAAAUGCAGCUUGGGUAGGUUAGAAACGUUUCCAUCCUGGCAUCUCUGAGUGUCUCUAGGCUCUGAAGUAAAGGGUUGAGUGAUUUCCUGCUAAAAGGCUGUCCCUAAAGGGCUUGAACGGGGUUGUUCGCCCGCUGUGGGAUGCAUACCUGCAGUAAAUUUACUCUCCUUCCCUGGUUCUAAGUCUAGGUCCAUUCGUCCUCCAAAGCGUGCAUAGGGGUCCUGGGUGGACUGGACAAUGUCAUCUUCACUUGUAAAAAUGAUAAUUUAUUAUGUAUAUAAAAAAUAUAUAUUUAAUAUAUAACGUGUCCUAACGUGUUGAAAUUCUCUACUUUUUGAGAAAUGACGUGUCACCAUGUCGUGUCGCGUGUGAGUGUUGACGCUACUUAGGUUCCAAUCGAGUACUCCCGCAUGAGAGCCACCAUCGUCAGGGACUCCACCACCCGGGCCAGGGUGAACGAGCUCUCUAUUAAGAGUCUCGUGUCGGGUUUGGAGCGUGGUGAAGUGAGAGUCGACGUUGUUUUGGGCUCCGGUCAAAGGCUUGGCUCAGGUGCGUCGUGGGUUGCGGCAUUUGACGUCUCUGACAUGCGACGACUUGAUAUUUAUUGCUGAAUUUGACGGUGGUGGUCUGAUAUUGCUCGUCCGCAGCAUCUAUCGCGUUCUUGAUUUCUUCGGUUAUGUACGGAUGCUGAAGUUCGGGGUUUUAGAGGGAAGAGGGAGAGAGAAGGCGAGGUGUUGAGGGAUGACGUUGUGGGGUGUGGUGGUGUGGGGGGAGGGGACAAACCUAUAGUUCCUAAACAUAACCUCGAACUGCAGCAUAAAUAAGAAUGAUUGCACAACAGUCUUUCGUAUAUUAUGAAAAGAACAAUUUAUUAUAGAUCAUAAAAGAUUAAUCACAAGUAAUUAUAAAUUAUUGUAGAAUUUAUUUUUUAAAAAAUUUGUGACUUACAUAGAUACUCUCACAGUAUCCCAAUAUUAUUAUGCUAGUAAAGCCCCNNNNNNNNNNNNNNNNNNNNNNNNNNNNNNNNNNNNNNNNNNNNNNNNNNNNNNNNNNNNNNNNNNNNNNNNNNNNNNNNNNNNNNNNNNNNNNNNNNNNNNNNNNNNNNNNNNNNNNNNNNNNNNNNNNUAUCUAUACACACAUACACUUAGGAUUUAGAAAUUCAUCUCAUUGUUUGUAAUAAUGGUAUUUAAAAAAAUUGUAAUUUGGUGCAGUUAAACAUUAUUUUUCUGAAGAAAAAUCUAUAUAAAUAAAUAAUAGAAAGAUAAUUUUUGUUGCUUAUAAACAAAACUAGAAAGAAAUAAAUUCAAACUUCAUCUUAUAUAUAAUUCAUAAGUGAAUAGUACUAUUGGGCAAUAAGGUUAAAAAAGAAGAUAUAACUAAUAUUCACACUUGACAAAUGUUGUUUAUCGAAAAUUAUCUUAUAUAUAUAUUUUUUUCAUUUGGUGAAACCAAACACAAUUUUUUAUUAGGAAAUGCUUGAGUAAGCUAAAACAAAUCAAUACUUUUUGUAUGUAUUUAAGAUGAUAUAAAGAAUAAAAAUUCUAAGGAUGCCCUACUUACAAAACGACCAGUCACCAAAAAAAAAAAAAAGCACAAGUUAAUAAAAUUUUCUAUGGUAGAAUAAGAUAACUAGUAUGGUAUUUUCUCUUUUGCCCAAGAUCAUUUGAUUAAGGGCUUUGCUAGCAUAAUAAUUUUUGGGUUACUGAAAAAAUAAUAAUAUGUUGUAAGUCACAAAUUUUUAAAGGAGUAGGCCCCACAAUAUUUUAUAGUGAAAAAUGAUUGACUAACAAUACUAUUAGCUUGGAAGAGAAACAGUAAAUCCUCACCACACAUUUUCCAUAAGUGAGAAAUAUUUGUGUUUUGUUUGGCAUUUUUCCACAUGCUUGUGUUGGAAAAAGGAAAAGUUUGUGAUUAUCUUUUGACUAUCACACGGUCAUACUGUCAUGCCGGCAUAACUCUUUUAUAAUUAUUUGUUAUUUGAUUUUUUGUGGUCAAGAAUAGAUUGUUAUUCUCAUAAUAUAUUAGAAACUAUCACCAAAAUCGAUCACCGAUCACCUCUAGCCUAGUUGAUUGUGAAUGGAAGGGCUGCUCCCAUGGCCUAGGCUCAAAGUGGACAAUGGCUGUGAUGUGAGAAAUUCCAUCUAUGAUCUCAACUCGGGAUGAUGAGAUCCAACACCAAGAUUCAACUUGUCAGAAGGUGACAGGCUAGCCUGCGAAGAUCACUCGCCCAAGUGGGUUCUCUCCCAUUAUUUUGGCCACACUUAUCCAUGCUCGGCAUGGCUUGCUCUCUAGAAUUUGUUGGACCUAUAUUCCAUGAUAAGAAUACAUUUAAAAUGGGCUUGCAAAAGUGGGGGAAAUUGAUGCUUUGGCUUUGUAAUUACUGAAAAAAUGUACAUAUCAUAAUGUAUAUCUACAAAGUUAUGUGAGCCAACUUUUGAAAUUGGUCUCAACCUUUUAAAUGAUUGUUAAUACUUCUGCUAAGGGUACGUUUCUUUCAUGAAAAAGAAAUGAUUUAGGAAAUAUAUUCUUAAAAAUGAUUGUUUGUAUCGUUUACAAACAUAAAUGAUUUAAAAAUAUUUUUCAUUGAUUAAUUAUCUCAAAUAAAAUUAACAAUUUUUUAAAAAUUUAAAUAAUUUAUUUUUUGGAAAACAAACUAGAGUUAAUACUGAGAAAGUUAUGAUUAUGUCUGAAGGUUAAAAAAAUCUACUUCACUUCUGUUGAAUAACUAUUCCCCACCGUAGAACAAAUAAUGAUGAUGAUGAUGAUGAUGAUAACUAUUCCCCAUUCCCCUUUUUUUGCCAUCCCUUUUCCAUACUGAGCAUCCCGUCAACUUUUGUUAAGAUUAAAGGAAAGUUAACACAUCUAAAAAUGGAUUGCCCUAAUUAAUAGAUAAUACCAAAGAUCACAUUGAAAUCACGAUAAUUAGAAUACAAUGAAGUAGGGCCAUUUGUACACCUUGAAAAGUUAUUGCCAGCAUGACCUGGUCACCCUAUUGUUUCAUCUUAGCAACUAGAAAUCUAUUUAUUGAUUUGGGAAAAUUCCAAAUGAGGACUUAAAGUAUCAUUAUUUUCUCAAAUAAGGGUCCAAAGUAUUCAUACAAUUUUUAAAGAAAGGCCUGAAGUGAUUAUAAUUGUUUCAAAUAAGGGCUUAACCUUGCCGGCUCACUGGUUGGCAAAAAAUUAUGAGUUUUCAUCCAAGUACAAAUUAAAUUAAAUUAAAUUAUAUUAUAUUACAAAUUGAAAAAAUUAAAAAAAGAAGAAAAAAAAAGGGAAAACAUAAGCGAGACAGCCUCCUGCCUGUGGGCGUUGCCCCAUCACUGAUAGGGUAGCAAUGGGCGUUGCCCCAUCACUGAUAGGGUAGCAAUCAAGGCCAGUGGGGUCGCUGGCGCUUGGAGGAGAGCUGACGACACUAGUCAACUAGAGAUGAGAGCGGGUGGCAACCCUCUCCUAGAUCUAGUGACGCUGGGCGAAGGCCGCCAGGCCUGUGUGACGGCUGCUAGGUCCUCGCCAAGAUUUGGGGGAGGGUUGUUGCCCUUUCCCACCUCUGGUCGACAAGGGUUGUUGCCCUCUCGUAGGUGUUGCAACCUUGCUGGCCUUCGCCAUCGCCCUACUAGCGAUGGGGUGGCAGCCACAGGCGAGAGGGAUCUCGCUUGUGUUUUCUUCUUCUUCUUCUUCUUUUAAAAUAGUUUUUUUGGUUUUUUUUAAAGAGAAAAAGGAAAAAAUAAGAAAAAGAAAAAUUUUAAAAGAAGAAAUUGCCCUCUAUAUUUGGUGAGUUUAGGUCCUUUUUUGAAACUGACAUAUGCACCUCAGGCCCUUAUUUGAAAUAAGGUCCACUUCAGACACUUAUUAAAGUGUUUUUAUUUAAAACAAUAUUCACUUCGGGUAUCUAUUUAAGAAAAUGAGGACAAUUCAAGUUUUUACUUGAAAUUUUCUCUAUCGAUUUUACAAAAGUACUUUCGAUAUUUUUAUAAAUACUAACAAAUAAGGUCUCUCUCUAUAGAUGUAUCAAUUUUUUGUCUGAUAAUUAUUAUAUAUAUAUAUAUAUAUAUAUAUAUAUAUAUAUUUACUAGAAUUUCCGUUAGCUCAAAAUAAGUUGGUUGAGUUACGGACCAAACAAGUUGCUAACACGUAAAGUGUGCUGUAUAUCUUACCUGGUAGAAAUCUAGAGAUCUGCUCAUAGCAUUGUACCCAAUCUAAAAACUAGACCAUGCAAUUAAUAUAUUUCGGAAAAUCAUAGUUGAAUCACAUUAACGAGGAAAAAAUUGUCUAAAAAGUCUUAAAUCUACUACACUUUCUUUAAUUUAGUUCUAAAUUUUUUAAUUUUGCCAAUUGAAUUCUAAUCCCUUUCACAUUUAAUCAAUUGAGUUCAUCUAGCCAAUUUUUUUGGCCAAAAAUCGUUCACGUGAAUAUUAUAUGUCUUACGUGAUACGGUCAAUGCUGACUAUAAUUAAGUAUAAUUUAAUUUUUUUCUUUUCAGUCUUUACCAUUUUUUAAUUACUAAGGUAAAGAAGGAAAAAUAAAAAGAAAGAAAAAAGAAGAUAUAAUUUUUUUAAAAAAUAUUAUUAAAAAUUAUCUACAUCAGCGCUUGCAGUACCACAUAAAACAAUUAUUGUCUACGUAAAUGACUUUUUGUCAAAAUUGAUCGGAUGGAUUCAAUUGAUAUAAUUAAAAUGUUUAUGACCAAAUCUAUAUUAAGGAUUUUUUGGAUAAUUUUCCCCACAUGAAAUGGCAUAUCGAAUCUUUUGAACACUAUCAUCGGACAAUACUUGAUGGGAUCAUGGGUACCGAUCGAAGGUGGGUUCUUUUUAUGCGACAAAAAAAGAAGAAGCUUUUGGCUAAAUUUCGAGCUAAAGUGGUUGUUUUCUUAUGAAAAUAGUUUUCGUCAAUUAUGAGAUAAAAAAAAAUUAGGGCAUAACUGGUAUUCAAGUAAAAGAUAGUAUUUCUUUCACGAGAAAAAAGAAAAAAAAAACUCGGUCCAAAAUUGAAACCCGAACCAAAGCGGUUAUUUUUAAAGGAAGGGGGGCCUUAUUUGUUCAGAAUGAUCAAUCCGCACGGCGUCCUCCGAUUCGCCUAACAGCUGCGUUAACGUGUUGACACGGGGAUCUGGUGAAUUGCUUGCUUAGGACCAUCAAUUGGCGUCGUGUCGUUAGACUCGUCUCUCGUCGUCUUCAUGAAUCAUGGGAGCAUUUCUAUGUGACCAGAACUUGUCGUUUUCUCGAAAAUGGGUCAAAACACGUUAAAAUUGGGUCGAUCUCGAGUUAGUCGCCUUCGUGUCUUGCCAACAGAAAGAACGCCUUUCUGGCAAAUAUUUGUUUGUCGUCCAAUGACAAACCGCAUCAGAAAUUGCUAGCUUCGGAACGAGGCAAGAAAGUUGGAUUUUGAGAUCCCGUUUAAGACCAUAAAUCGACCUCGCGAGCUUAAUAAAAAUCAGACACUAUUCUCAGCCCUCUCUUUCUCUCUUAUUUCUACGAUUUACUAAUGUUCUUUAUCGUUAUCACAUAAAAGAUAAUGAGAAAUCUUAUUUCUCUAUAUGACUCAUUAUAUGAGCUCAUGCUCUUUGAGUUUGUAAUUCAUUGGGUUACUUCCACACGAGAGUGAACCCAUUCAACAUCACCAAAUUUGUAGUGGUCAUGUCCACCCAAUAUUUUAAAACCAUGAAACUUGAGUUUGCCAUGAAUCAUUGGAGCUUCGAGCUCAUGAUGACCAUGGCUACUUGAGUUUUGAGUUGCAAAGCUCGAGGCCAUGAUCGCUCGAUUUAAGCUCGUGGUCCUAACUACCCAAUUGGCAAUCGUGAAUAAUCACAAAUUGUGCAUUGUCAUGGGUGUUUUGCAAGCGUUAUUCAAGUUUAUCAUUUUCCUUGUUUCGUUUUUAUUAUUUUCGCAUCUAAGGGAAUCUCACUUUUGAAAUUAGAAGAAAUCCCAUAUUGAUCCUCCAUGAUCAAUGUCACGUACCCUCUUUGUUUUAUAGCCACCCCAAUGUCCAUACCUAAAACGUGCACCAAUCGGUACCAAACAAAAUCCCAAUAAUUUAUUUUCCCCUUUUCCCUUUCCAAACAGCGAGCAAACAUACGUCGGGUAAAAACCCCGUCGCCGCCACAAAGAUAUUUUUGCCAAAAGUCUCGCCAUCUCCCCACCACCACACAUUCCUUAAAAAAAAUUAAAAUAAUGUCACAGAGCAAAGGCUCAUAUCCACCGUCCAUUAACUUGAGGGGCUUCGACGGUGGAUUUGCCUCUUUCGGUUGCGACGCUCCCGUCUCAACCGUUGAUUUUCAAGCCACUCCUAAGAAAGGCCAUCCCGCCGCCUUGGGAGGGAGUUGUUUGAUGAUUCGGCGGAAUCUGAAGUUGGUACUUUUUUAUAAGACUAGAAGAAGUUGAGUUAGAUUUGUGGUUCAAGUUAAGGUAAGUACUUUUCAAAGAAAUUAGACCUAUUUUCAAUGUGAUGAAAAAUCAUCCUUUGUUGGUCCGAACAUUUUAAAUCGUGUCCAAAGAAGGAUGCGAAUACCAUGGACAUUGAAGCAAGACAAUGAUGCACUAAGGAGAUUGCGUUACAAAUUCAAAAUUAGCUAAUCUAUAUCAACAAGUCAUGAUUCCAAAUAUUAUUUGGCACAAGAUGAUGCACUAACCAGAACUCAGACGCAUCAAACAACUGAUCACGCAUCAAAUUCAAAAAUGUUGUUAAAAACUUAGUUGAUUCCCCUAUCCUUUGAAAUUGACGAUUAUCUUCUUCGUAUCAUGACCAAAGCGCGAUGUCCCUAGGAUGGUUCCUCCACAUUUAUGGAUAUCAAUUAGGACGAAAUCGAGUUUACUUGUAGAAUCCAAUAAAUCAUCAUAAUUUCCCAUAUCAUUUCUAAUCUUUUUGGAGUUAAUGAUUUUGUCUUUGUAUGCGCACUUACACCUAUGACAGAAAUCUUUUUGGAGUUAAUGAUUUUGUCUUUGUAUGCGCACUUACACCUAUGACAAGAACUCUCUUAAAAACUUGUAUAUGGUACAAUCGGCACCUGAUCACCGAGUUCAGCCCUGGACAGAGACCUCCCCAUGUCGCGAUACAUGCAUGAACAUCGUCGGCCUCAAAAUACACAUGCAUAAUAUCGAAUUGUCCAGCAGGAUCGGUUUGUCACGAGCAUUAGAGUACAAUAUUUCUUCUGUUAUGACAGAACGGAAUAGAACUUAUAAUUGUUGACGUGGCUCUGCCCGUCCAAAGUAUACUCCUAUCCUUGUGCACUACAAUAUGCAGAAUUGAAGAUUAUAUGUCAUUGAAAUAGCAGACGUACUAUUUCCUAACAAAUAAUUGAUAUUGACACCAACACAAAACCAAAUGUGUCACAUAAGGGGUUAACCCCUUGGGGUCCGGAAAAAGUAUCAAAAAUGUCAUAAACUUAUUGUAUUAAUACCAAUUCAAUUCUAAAUUUUUCAUUUAGACUAAUUUAAUUAUAAACAUUUUCGAUUGGAUCACGUUAGCACUGACCGUGUCACGUAGAACCAUCAGCAUUUACAUCAACAAUUGCUUGCCUAAAUUAGCCGAAUGGAUUAAAUGCAAAAAAGUUGAGGACUGAAUUAGUCAAUAUAAUAAGUUUAUGAUUUUUUUGGUACUUUUCCCUUGAGGGUACGGUGUCAUUGACAUGAACAACUACUACAUGGUUAAGGAAAAUAUAAAAAAUAAUGACCUUCAUUUCUCGACAUAGAAACCUUUCAAAUUAACAAGAACAAGGGACGAUUUUUUCCAGACUUACUUCACAACUGAAUAUGAGGGGUUGUCUUGUGACGGAUUAGGGUAAGUCUGCUAGACAGCAAAAUAACAUAUAGCAAAUGAGAACACGAUUAGUCAACCGCAAAUGAACCUUCAAGAUCAAAAUUUGACGAAUGCUUAACCAGCUUUAGCACUAGUGAAUCAUAAGAUUGCAAGCAAAUCCUAUGGGUAGUGAGUGAUCAGCUCACGAAAGGACCUGGUAAUUGGUAUGACCUUUUGAAGCUGAAGAAUAGCAUCAACCCUGAAAAUGAAGCAACAAAUCCACCGCAGUCAGAUCGAUUAAUCAGCAACUUAGGAUGGUGAGAUUAACGCGAUUCAAUUCACGUAAACUGGUAUUGGCAAUGUAUAGACUGGUUCACCAAGUAUAAUAUGAGAGAGUUCCUUAUCGAGUGUUUGAAAAUGAUUCAAAUCAGGUGGGUAUUUAUCUGUAACCUGUUACAUCACAUUACGAACCAAUUAUACAAACCGGACCAUGCAUACCUGAUGUGGUGGAUAAGACGGAGACAUGUUUAGUUAAUCUAAAUCCCUUUUCUAUUUGAUAUGCUCAAGUCAAUGUCCUUAAUUCCAAUUAAGAAGACCCUUUACCAUUGCAUAAAUUAACCAUUCUGCCUAGCAAAUUGGCACCACGCCUAGACUAAUAUUAACAAAAUUAGAGCCGCCUGUUACCAUUUUCUUAUAUGAUUUCUGUAGAACAAAGGGGUUAUUCAAUGGAAUACGAUCUUUUCUUUUUCAAGGUCUCCAAUCAAAGAACUCGAUCGUGUUUCCUCGUUUGUUUUUCUUUCUUUGGAUGCAAGAAAAAUGAUAAUCGAAGUAUCAUAAAUUGUAAAAGGACAUAAAAAAUUCCAAAAUUAGCUCUCUGUCCGCCCUUUUUGAUAAAUUAACUGAUCCUCGUUCUCAUUGGCAAAUAAUACAACCGACAGCUCAAAUGCUGUUUUUCGCAUGUCGUUCGUAGAUUUAUAAUUUGCGUUUCUCUUUCUAUUUCUUCUUAUAAUGUUCAAAUUGCAAAUUCGUGUUAUAUUAAUAAUAUCACUCUAGAAAAGUCAAAUUAUUUAAUAAAAUAUGGAACGGUGAUGUAUUUUUCCAUUGAGUCGAAUAAUCAUGACCCUGCAAAAGAGGAAUGCUCAAAUCGAGUUUAUUAGUGACUAUAUUGCCCUUUCAAAAUGAAUUUUUUCAGUCAAGUGACUACAUCUUCCUUUCGUAUUAAGAUCGUCAAAUUCCCCUUUUGUCUUAUCUUAGUUUAGUGAUAAGUGAAUGUGUAAGGUAGUCUUUGCGUAUCUCAACUAGUCAAUUUCUCUAGGCAAUUUUUGGUGUGCUGUCCUCUAUAUUGGCUUCGUACAUUCGUGAUUUUACUUUUUAAGUGCUCCUAACUAGGGGUGAGCAACGGUCUAGGGUCGACCCUGGACCGGCCCAACCCUGCUGGUCUUGGUCCGGUUCCCAAGAGAACUGGGUCGGUCCUUGGUCUUGAAAUUCCAGAACCAACACUGUACGGGUUGGUCCUCGGUUUUGAAAGUUUUGGGUCGGUCCAACCCUGGACCAACCCUGUAUAUUAUAUUAUAUUAUUUAUAAUUCUUUUAUAUAUUCAAACCUAAGUAAAAUAUUUGUUCAAAAAAAAAAAAAACCUAAGUAAAAUGAUGUUAAAGCCGUUGACUCCUCAGGCUCACAGUCACAGACAGACGGCAUCCAAUUCCAAGAGGUGUGAAGUUUACUCCGAAAAGGUCUUCACGGCGUCCUCCACAGUCUAGAGUAUGUUCUUCAAUCUUCACCGUGAGGACCAAGGAGUCCUCACAAUCAUGGACUCGCGACGUCCAAAACGGCACGAAGUUUACGCCGUAAAUCUCCUCACGGCUUCCUUCCCCAAAGUGCGUUCUCUUCCAUUCUGUCUUCCUUGUUCUUCAAUUUGCCAAAAUCAAAAGUAGCAACAUCCCGCUCGCCUCUAGUUGCCCACGCCGCUCACCUCUGACCGUGCGUGCCACUCGCACCGCUCGCCGCUCACCACUCACCCUUUGCUAUUGUUGUUGGCCUCACUCAACGCUUGCCACUCACCACUCGAUGCUAGCCUCACUCAACGCUCGCUGCUUGCCGCUGGCCUCAUUCAACGCUUGCCGCUCGCCAGUUGACGCUCGCCGCACUCGACGCUCAACGCUUGCUGCUCGCCACUCGCGCUGGUCACCUCGCUUAUUGCCGAGUAAAUUAGAAGGAAAAAAGAGAGCCCUAACUAGAAACCCUAACGCCCGACUCAUCCUUGCUUUCCAAACACAACUUGGCUAGUGAGUUCUACUUUGUGCUUCAUUUGAGAUCUUCAAUGCUCUUGAUUUGUGUUGAAUUUUUAUUUUUCCACGUUUGCUUCACGUAGGUGAUCAGUUUGGCUGGGUAUUAGUCCGCGUGACCUCCCCUUUUGGACCCUUAAUUGAUGGGGGCGAUUGCAUUCGAUGUGUUCUUCCUGGGCUUUUCUUUCCUUUUUUGGAGAUGGGUUUUAGCUUUGAUUGGAGAACCGAAUUGUGCUCAUCAUCCAUCGUGAUUUUAACUGAAGUAGCAAUCGAACCGUAUUGAUGUCAUGUUUUUAAAAUCUAGAUCGUUGCAUGUUGGAACAACAAGCUCGAUAAAGACACGAGCUUGUAAUUUAUGAGCUGAAAUUAGAUAAAAAAAUGUCAAAGUUUUGCUGGGAAAAGAAAGGAAAUUUUGGUGAAUAUGUAUUGAUAUUUAUAGUUUAGUUGCACAAUACUGCAUUGUUGAUGGAUGUGUAAUUUGAAUUUGUAGGUUUGUUUUUUCAAGGAAUAUAAAAAACAAGAUGAAAAAAAUUAUCGAUCAGUCUCGAGUUGACCCUGGAACCGGACCGAACCCAUUGGGUCGGUCCGAUCCUUGGUCCCAGGCUCAAUAGGGUCGGUCUUCGGUCCUAAAAAUUGAGGAUCGACACUGUACGAGUUGGUCCUAGGGUUAGGGGGUGGUCUGGACCAACUCGGACCAUGCUCACCCCUACUCCUAACAAGGUUCGAACCUAAGACCGCAAUAAAAGGAAUAAAGCCUCUUGCCAUCUAAAUCCUUGUAAUUGGGGAGAUAAAUUGGGGUCUGGAAAGAUUUGAGCUUGAACCUCUUGCUGCUUUGACAUCACGUGAGAUUUUGGUCAAAUUAUUGCUAACUGUUCUAAAAUAUUAAGCUGUUACAUUAAAGCAUAGUUUAAUAUCCAAAUAUUCUAAUAGGGUUAAUUCUCAAUUUGCCAUAUGAAUUUAAACAGUUCAACGUGCUUAUGAGAGUGGACGUUAGUAAAACGUGAAAGUGACAUGAAUUAGUACAGAGUCGGAAUAAUACAACGUGGAACGUUCAUAAAAUUUGUAAACAUAAAUGCUUGGGUUCUGGGAGCGCUGAGCAAGUACGGUGGAGUAUUCUGACCAACGCCUAUAGUUGUCGAGUCGGAGAAAGGCGCCGUUGCUGCUGAUGAUGGCAUUGUUCUCGGAGUUAAAUAUAUAUACAUGUUGCAAGAUUGAAUUCGAUCGGUGGCUAGCGUGCAAAAUGUAACGAGUUAGCUUUGUGGUCUCUCGGGAUGUGGGAAAAUUACCCAAUGAAUUCUAAAUUUAUUAUAUGGAUGUCAAUCAAAUUCUAAACUUUUUAGUUUUGUUAAUUUAAUCUUAAACAUUUGCCAAAAUUUAAAUUGAAUUAUUUCAAUUAAUUUUUUCCGGAAAUCACCGAUGUCACAGUUUAGUAAUUGCUGGUGAAAAUUGACCAAAAGGGUUUCAUUGGAAUUUUGUACAAAAAUUUACGAUUAAAUUGUCAAAAUUGUAAAGUUUAAGACCAUAUGAGCAUCCAAUAGUUUUAUCAUUGAUUAGACAAUUUUCCUUCAAAGAUUUGACUCGCUAACUUAAUUUAGACUUCAUAUUAUUUUUUAGGGUGUUAAUUUGGCUCUUUUCUAAUGUAAUUUUUUUCUCUCUUAACAUCACGCGCCUUCUAUGGCAUGGUCAGAACCUUGUUGUGUAAAUGUGAAUCGAACGUGGAAGGGGAGGGCAAUACAUAAACAAUGGACAAGAACCAAAAAAAGAAGGCUAACCAAACCGAGACAAAGCAAGAGGCAGAUAAUUGCCUUCUCUUACAGGCGGCCCCCCCACCCCAACACCAAUUUUCCCUCAAAUAAUUCAAGCGUCCGCCAGGGCCUCGUACGCCAGACUGACAUAAGAGAAGCAACCAAAACCAGGGAAGCAACGGCGGGCCACGAGGGUCGCGCUCUGCGCUCUUCUUCUAGCGAUGCUGCUCCCAGCGAAAGCGCUAGUGAGCAGGGAGGCCACUGUGACGUGUUCGCCGACAGGGCAGAGCUUCUACCCGAGCUCGUUCACAUGCGCGACCCCUCUGACCAGUCUGUGCUGCAGCAGCAAGAUUAAAAAGCAAAAGCCCUGCCUCUGCCAGUACGGUGGGAGUAAUCUGGACAAUGCUGUAGUGGUCGAGUCGGAGAAAGGCGUUGUCGCUUCUGAUAAUGGCUGUUGUUCUGAGAUCGGGGCGUCGAUGCUUAGGAAAGGAGGGCACGCGGUCGAUGCUGCUGUCGCCACUGCUCUGUGCAUCGGCGUCGUCAAUCCGAUGGCUAGUGGGAUUGGAGGCGGCGCUUUCAUGAUCGUCCAGUCCUCAUCGACAUCAAAAACCGAAGCCUACAACAUGAGGGAAACUGCUCCUUUGGCUGCUUCACAGGUUUAUCCUCUUUCUAACGGUAAAGGGGCAAAAUGCUUUUGGAACUCAUACUUCUCUUUUUCUUUUCUUUUUUUUUUUUUUUUGCCCUUUGCUUUUCCUUCUUCCUCGGCAAGGGACGAGCCCGCUGAUCUGGCAAAAUGUGACCAGCCACAUGUGAGGGACGAGCCUGCUGAUCUGGCGACCGAAGCCUUGUGGCGUCUGACACUGGUAAGGCUAGAUCGGCGAGACUCGAGCUUGCCUGUGGUGGUCAAUGGUUGAAGAAGGAAAAAGGGAAAAGAAAAAAGAAAAGAAAAAGAAAAAUUAUCAAAAUUGUAUGUAUCAAAUAUGUUCACCUGAUAAAGGCUCUAGUUCAUUGCAGAUCAUCUGUUCUAAAGUCAAGUAGAGCUAAUUAUUAUCACGACUUAGUCAAUAUACUAGCAGCCAUCUGUCAAGCUUUGGAAUCGAUUCAUUAAUGCUGUCCUCUGAACUUUUUUCAAGUCGUUAGCUUCUGUUCAAAUUAAUCAUCCUGGAGGUGUAGAGGAAGCAACUAGUCCCGUCGGGAUCUCUCCUUCGUCGAACGAUCUCCUUCGUCCUUCCCACUUGUUAAAAAUCGUAACUUUUAGUGCUGGUAACAGGACAUGUACGAGAACAAUCCCUCGGCCAAGUACUAUGGCGCUUUGUCAAUGGGAGUGCCUGGUGAAAUAGCCGGCCUUCAUCAGGCGUGGUUGAAGCACGGCCGUCUGGCAUGGAGCACCUUGUUCCAACCGUCCAUAAAACUGGCAAAGGAAGGGUUCGUGGUCGCUCCAUACCUCGCACGGCGGAUAGAAGUUUCUGCGAAGAUGAUCUUGAACGAUCCUGGCUUGAGACAAGUGUUUGCGCCUGGCGGGAAGCUGUUACGCGCCGGCAAUACCUGCUACAACGUGGAAUUGGGCCAAAGCUUAGAGGCCAUAGCAGAACAAGGGCCAGAUGCAUUUUACGAUGGGAGCGUCGGCGAGAAGUUGGUCAAGGACGUGAGAGAGGCUGGAGGGAUUUUGACGAUGGAGGACCUAAGGAAUUAUAAAGUCGAAGUAACGGAUGCGAUGUCCGUUGAGGUCAUGGGCUAUACCGCAUUCGGAAUGCAGCCUCCCUCGAGCGGAACGUUAGGGUUCAAACUGGUGAGUAAUUUCUUUAACAAAUUCCGUUUGUGGCGACACCCAACAUGUGAAAUAGCGAUCAUCUACUACUGCUAUGAGGAAAAAUUCCAAUUCCGGUAGCCUGUAGCAUGGGAAAGUGUUGUGAUCCAUGGUCGAUGAGCGGAAGUUGGAAUUUGUCUUAUGAGACAGUGUCAGGUGUAGUUGUUCUUUAGAGCAUAGACGGACUUGGAGUGUCUGAUCUCGGGUAAUGGUCAUGAACAGGUCAUGGACAUCAUCAACGGCUAUGGAGAUUCCAAUGCUGCAGAGGGAAAUCUUGGGAUGCACCGCUUGAUAGAGGCGAUCAAGCACAUGUUUGCAGUCCGGAUGAACUUGGCCGACCCUAAUUUUGUGAGCAUCAGUGAGUACAUGUCCGAGAUGCUCUCUCCAUCCUUCGCCAAGCAACUGAGACAAAGGAUACUUGACGAUACUACUUUCCCUUCGGAGCAUUACAAGUACAAGUAUGAAGAUCCUACUUCGACCUUGGCAAAAUCAAAACAGACCUCCGCUUUGUUGCGAACGUAUUGUAAUUUAACCUGGUUUAACCCUCUGCUGGCAGGUGGAGUCAACUUAAAGGUCAUGGUACCAGCCAUUUUGGCAUCGUAGAUGCAGAACGGAAUGCCGUAUCUAUGACUACCACUGUUAAUUAUCCAUUUGGAGGUGGAGUUCUCUCGCCUUCUACAGGUAUCGUGCUCAACAAUGAGAUGGCUGACUUCUCCAUACCCACGGAGGUUUCCUCCGACCGCCUGCCUCCUGCUCCAGCGAAUUUCAUCCAACCAAACAAGAGACCUCUGUCUUCCAUGACCCCACUCAUCAUCACCAAGGUGUGCAAAGACAGUCCUUUGGCUGACAUGAAGAGAAUCUGUACUGUCUGUGACCGAAUAGCUCUAUCUUGUGUUCGUUGAAUCGCAUCUAAGCAAGCAAAAUUUCCCAGGCACCGUCUAUUGAAUUUCCAAGGAGACCUAAACUUUGUCUCUUCUCAACUUGAAUUUUGGGUUUCUAAUCGAAAUCUACUGAAUGCAGGAUAACCAGUUGGCAGGAGUCAUAGGAGGGAGUGGAGGAAUGGACAUAAUUCCAGCAGUGACCCAAGUUUUUCUAAAUCACUUCGUCCUGGGAAUGGAACCAUCGGAUGCUGUUCAGUAUCCAAGGCUCUACCACAGCGUACCAUUUCGACCUUAUUCAUUCACGACCUUGCAAUCGAAUUCUUAUCCGAAGUUGUUACGUUCCUGUCAUUUUCAACUCAGUCCUUUUCCUAUUUCGCAGCUGAUACCGAAUGUGGUACACUACGAAAACUACACCUGCAUCAAUGGUAAUCACAUUGAGCUUGCGGACGAGCGAAAGCUUUUCCUGAAGGAGAGAGGUCAUAAGUUGGAAGCCAGAGCAGGAGGAGGAAUUGUCCAGCUUGUCGUUCACAGCCUACAAAGCACGCUUGAUUCAGGUCACAUGAGUUGCGAGGACUUCAACUCUGGAGUCGUCCAUGGAACUCUUACUGCCGUAAGUGAUCCUAGAAAAGAUGCGAGGCCUGCUGCGGUUUGAUCUGUUCCGGAGGAAUUGAGAAGGAGCCGCUUCAUAAAGAUAGAUGGUGAAUGGUAUUGAGAUCGCCAGCCAAUGCUUUAAUGAAGUUUCCGCAUUAUGAUCCGAUGAGAUUAGAUCCCUAAUCUGCUUCUACACAUUGCAAUUUGCAUUAGAAAAAAUAUCAAAGCGAUGCGUCUUCGACUUAGAAUAUGUCAGCAGAAGCAAGCAAGGCAAAUAGCAGUUGAUGUAGACAGCACAUCACAGAACCCAACAUAAGGUUUCUGCCUCCGCGAGUCUGGUUUUUCAAAUGAGUUUCUAGGUCCUCUUUGAAAUUUCACUGGGUGAGAUGAGCAAAUGAAUGCAGGUUAAGUACACUAGAAAUACCAAAAGUUGUGUGCAGCGCUUACUUUAAUACUACACUUUAAUAUUAAAAGUUUUCACCGACUCAAUUAAAUGCCAAAUUAGAGAAAAAAAAACAAUAAUUUAAGUGCCUUCAGCGAGAUAUUCCGGCGAAAUUGAUUACAUGGCAUUUAUAAUUAAAAUUUUAAUAUAAUUUGACACAUUUAAAAAAAAAAAUCCAGUACAUGGACGCCAAAAUAAUGUCGCACAAUAAUCACCAUUUAAAUGAAAUUAGCACAAUAAUCACCAUUUAAAUGAAAUUAGCACCGAAGAGAUCACUUUUUACCAAUGAUUGGCAUUAAAGAUAUAUAUAUAUUUUAACUAACGACCAAUACUUAAGUAAUCACUUUUAAUAAUAAGUGGCACUCAAAUAAUCCAUAUUUACAAUUUUUAACAUUCAAAUGGUCACUCAUCAACUUGCCUACACGCCAUUGUUUAGGUGUUAUAUGCUGAUUAGGCACUCUGAUGAGUCACGUAAGAUCAAGAAAUUAAUAAAAUAUAAUCACAUCAGAUUUUCGACAACGUUGAUCGGAGUUGGCAUUGAUUGUUUUUUUUUUUUUUUAAAGUGGCACUCAAUCUAAAAGAAAGUUUUGACAUUAAAGUGAAUGCCGUACACAAUUUUUGGCACUUUUAGUGUACUCACCCCAAAUAAAUGCACAUUCGACGUUCAAUAAUAUAUUUUAACUUUUUUUUAAAUAUUUUCUUAUUUUUAUUUUCUUUUACCUUUUAUUAUUAUUAUUAUUUUAUUUUAUUUUAUUUUUUAUUUUUUUAUUUUUAUUAAGAGCCUACAAGGGGUUGUUGGCCACUGGAUGAGGACUUGCUGCCCUUGCACGUGGCUAGCGAGGUCGCAAGCCCUCACCAAGUGGUCGGCAAAGGUCGUUGGUCCUUGGCCAAUAAUAAAAACAGGUAAAGAAGGAAAAAGAGAAAAAUAAAAUAAAAUAUAAAAAAAUUCAAUACAAACUGUGCACACCAGCGUCAACUAUGCCACUUAGGAUGACUAGGGUUCAUGCUUACGAUUUCCAGCCAAAAUUGACUAGAUGAACUCAAUUGGUAAAACUUAAAAAGAUUAAGAAUUUAAUUGAUAAUAUUAAAAUAUUUAGGACUGAAUUGAUAAAAGUACAAUAAUGUUAUGAUUUUUUGGGUAAUUUAAAAUGUUGAAUCUUUUGAAUGCCAUUGUCACAUGAGAACUUGGGUACCAAUCAAAGGCCUGUGCUUUUUAUGAGACAAAAAAAACUUUGGGUGAGAAUCUGAGUUAAAGAUGGUGUUUUUUAACAAGACAAAAAGUUUGGGUAAGAAUUAUCAGAUAAAAAAAAAUGUCAGAAUUAGAAUUCAAGUAAAAGCAAGUAUUUCUUUCGUGAGAAAAAAAAAAUUAUUGAGCCCCUAACUAAAGUAGUUAUUUUCAAAGGAACCGAGCCUUAUUUGUUCAGAAUUAUCAAUCCGCACGGUGUUCUCCAAUUCGCCUGACAGCUGCGUUAACGUGUCGACGUGGGGACCGUGUGAAACGCAUGCUUGGAACCAUCAAUCCGCGUGGUGUCGCCAUAUUCGUCUCUCGUCUUCUUCAUGGGAGCAUUUCAAUGCGACCAGAACUUGUCAUUUUCUCAAAAAUCGGUCAAAACACGUUUAAAUUGCGUCCAUUUCCCGUCGGUCGCAUUCGUGUCUCGCCAACAGAAAUAACACCUUCCGUGCAAAUAUAUGUUAGCUGUUCUAUGACAAAUCGCGUCAGAAAUUGCUUGCUUCUGAACGAGGCAAGGUCUGACUUUGAUCCCGUUUAGGUUGUCCAUCUGCUUAGCGUUUUUGGGCAGAAGGGCUGGAAUUAGCCGUGCCAAAUUUGCGAACUCCAUGUCCAUUUCUCUUUCUUGCACCUGACGGUUCACAUGCCGACAGAGAAACCAACUUUUGCACACAUGAACAAAGUUCAGGUACUAGAGAAUUCGCAAGAAAUCAUUUUUAUUGCAACUCAACCUCUAAGAGAUUACACCGAGCAAGCAUUGACCACGGCAUAUUAAGUCUCUCUAAGCGCACAAAUAACUAUAUACAAACGGAUUAUUUAGAUCUGCCAAAUCAAUGUAUUACAGACAAACUUACGUGCUCAUAGAAUUAUCGGCAUUACUUUAACCGGUCCCUUUACCGAGGCCGACCAAGUCAUUCUCGGCGCAGCAGCUUCGGUCAUCUAGCAACUCUGUCGGCGGCUCUUCUUCUCUUUUGUCCUCGAUCACGUCUUUGGGACUCCAGAAGCUAGGCUGGUUGGUUGAAGACAGGAGCCUCGCCCACAUCCGAUCCGUUAUCACGACAUUGUUCUGCUUCUCUGUAAUUCUCUGGAGCAAGAAGAAACAACAGAGAAUCAGGGUAAGGUGAAGGAUUGCAUGCGUUACUCGCACUGAAGGAAACCAAGAUUUGAAUUCCAAUGCGUAUUCAUUGACCAUUCGUACAUAGAAAGGUAUGUAUGUCUGUCUUCCAUUGACGAGUCCUGAAGUGAAGCCAGUGUAGCCCGCCAUUGUUCCAUGAACGCAACUUUGAGCGAGAAGCGUGCAGUACACAUUGUCGGAGGCGAUGCUUGGUAUGGCGCGGAUCAUAUACGUAGGGUCU
rnacentral:lncRNA from 1 species